GCAACUUGAUAAGUAUCUGGGGGCUUAAUCUCUCAAAUAAUAGGCUCUCUGGUGAGAUUCCAGACACCAUCGGCAAAUGCGCCAUCUUGGAAAUUCUUCAUUUAGAGAAUAACUUAUUUCAAGGGUCCAUUCCUGCCUCCAUUGGCAAUUUAAGAGGGCUUGAGGAGCUUGAUCUCUCAAAAAACUUCUUCUCGGGCCAAAUACCGGCAUUCCUUGAUGAGCUCCCGGAUCUACACUACUUGAAUCUCUCCUUCAACAGUUUUGAGGGUCAAGUGCCGAUGAAAGGGGUCUUUAAGAAUGCGAGCGAAGUCUCGCUUAUUGGAAAUAGUAAACUCUGCGGCGGAAUUCCAGAAUUACACUUGCCGAAAUGCACUUCAGAUGCCUUCGCAACAAAACAUCACUCUGAUUAUAAACUCAGAGUAAUACUCAUUCCUAUAUGUGGAGCAAUUUUGUGUUUGAUCAUAAUCAUGUGCUUGCUUGGGAUACAUCACUUGAUUAAAAACUCACAGAGAAAGCCGCUGUCGAGGUUUUCCUUAAGAAAUAGACACACGAAAGUAUCUUACGAUGAGCUCUUGAGGGCUACAAAUGGGUUCUCCUCAGAUAAUCUGAUCGGCGCGGGAAGUUUUGGGUCUGUUUAUAAAGCCGCCAUGAACUAUGAAAACGCCGACAUCGUUGCGGUGAAAGUGUUUAACCUUCAACAGCAUGGGGCUUUCAGAAGUUUUAUGUCUGAAUGUGAGGCCCUGAGAAGCAUUCGACACCGAAAUCUUGUCAAAAUUCUUACAUCGUGCUCUAGUUUGGAUCACCGCGGUAACGAUUUCAAGGCCUUGGUUUUUGAGUACAUGCCUAAUGGAAGCUUAGAAGAGUGGCUACAUCCAAAUGCACGCGAGAAUAGGCCUUUCAGAAGCCUAAGCCUAAUCCAGAGGUUGAACAUAGCUGUCGACGUAGCCUCAGCAUUAGAGUAUCUUCAUCACGAAGGGUCCGUGCCGAUUGUUCACUGUGAUCUUAAGCCCAGCAACGUCCUUCUCGGGAAUGAUAUGACGGCGCACGUGGGCGAUUUCGGGUUAGCAAAGUUUCUACAGCAACCGCUUGACGAAUCAUCAGAGCGUUCAUCUACCAGCACUGUGGGAAUCAAAGGAUCUAUUGGUUAUGUUCCUCCAGGUGAGGAAUAUGCAAUAAAAUGCUAACUUUUUUCAUGCUUUACGGCAUUUUAGAAUAAAAUGCAACACAUUUUUAUCUGAUUCCUAACUAUACUAUGUCUAAUAUUUUUUGCUGCUCAGCAAAAAACAAGCGAAUAGCAUAACUUUAAUAAAUAAAAUGAUAAAUUGAGUGUACGAAUUAGUAGAAAAGGGGAAAAAAAUAUUGUAGGAAACAAAAAGGAUACUACAAAUUAGCCACAAAAACCGACAUACUAGAGUUAGAAUCAGCUGCUUGAUGCUUACUACUAAACACGCAAGAGCAUAAACUUUAUUUAUACAUAUGUAAUGCUGUUUUAGAGUCAAUUUAUAAACUAAAAGAUCAAAUGCAGUUUUUGUAACUAUGGCUUGGAAACAGUGGGAACCAAAUCCAAAUCCAAAUGAAUUCACCUGACAAUCUUGUAUUGUCCGUUUCCAUUUAACAUAUGUUGUGCAGAGUAUGGAAUGGGCUGUAAACCAUCUAGGCUCGGCGAUGUGUACAGCUACGGAAUUCUUCUGCUGGAGAUGUUCACUGGAAUGAGCCCCCUCGACGACAAGUUCAAAGACGGACUGAGCCUUCGUGGAUAUGUUCAUGCUGCUGCUGCUUCUCCUGAACAUCUUAUGGACAUCAUAGACAGAAACCUGCACUCAGCUGAUAAUGAUAUGGCUUAUCGAGAAGAGUGUGUGCGAGAUUGCUUAGUUUUGGUGUUUGACUGCGGUGUCUCGUGCUCGAAUGAAUCACCACACGAACGAUGCGACAUGACAGAAGUCUCAAAGGUGCUGAGUGCAGCAAGAGAGAGGCUUCUUAGCUAAAAGCAGUUUUGCUCCCUGUGCUACUGUUCUCACUAGAGGCAAAUGAAUGUAUGUUUGAACAUCCUCUGCUUUUCCUUAUUUGCAUUAAAAAAAAUAAACCUUGUGUAAUAUAAAUGCCUAGUCCUUAUGGUUUUGAUCACUCCUUUCUAAAAUGAAUGCAACCAAAAGGAGAUAAGCACUUCAAAAUUUGCAUCUGUAUACAUUAAUAGCUUCAAAUUCCUAAUUUCUGGCUCAAGUUUAUAAAUGAAGCCUAAUAUAAUAUUAUAACCCAUCAUCUCCUAAUAUGCGUUGAAUACACUUUUCAACAGAGAGCUCCAAACUAUCUACAAGGGUGUAUAUACAAAUUUUGGAUUUCUCUCUCUCUCUUGAUUGAUAGGUAACUUGUUGAAAUCCUUAUUCUCGCUGCUAUUUUUCUUAGACAGCAUUGUUCUAUAUAUCCUCUUUAAGUUAUUUCUUUCCGAUGAUAGGAUACCUUUCCGAUGAUAGGAUAUCUGGAUCGACAAUCUGCACUGAUAAAUAUAAUUUUGGGUAUUGGAAGUGAAUCUGAUUUUUAAAGAUUAUUUUAUGGUUCAUCAGGCGGCUGCAGAAUGAACUUUAACAGCAUUAUGAAAAUAAAUCAUAGGAUUCAUCAAUUUAAGAUCAAAGGUAUGAACCUAGCUUAAAUUAUUUUCAAACAAAAAUUCAAGCAAUGUAGACUAAAGUUGUCGAUUUUGAGAUGCUUCAAUCAGUACACAAUGUCAGGAAAUAAUAGAAUUUAGUUCCCAGAGAGUUUAAUUUUAACGAAAUCCCAAUUCAAUAAACUGAAAUAACCCAAACAAAAUAAAUAAAGUUUAGAAGGUGCCUAUCGAAAAAGAAAAAUGAAUUUGAAGGCCCUUUUUUAAAAUGGCCUGUAGUUGCAGCGACUCCAUGCAUGUUUACCUAAAAUUAGCACAAACUACUAAAAGAUCAUAAAAUAGUAUGUAAGGAGGACAUUGACCACAACAGCAGCAGCAUUAACAACAGCAACAACAAAACCAUUUACAAUCAAACAAAGCAUUACAAGUAAAAGCAAGAAUCCAAUGGAAAGAAACACAAACACUCUGGAAAACACAACCAAAUGCUGUUUGUUAUACCAAAGUUGCGACGAAUGAGAGGACUCAGUUGCGAUCGCCUAACGUGUAUUUGACGCAACGGAAAAAGAACACCAGAUACAUACAUGCAUACACCGCCCCACUCUGAAUUUCUUGUACUUUCUGAGGUGCACGCAAAUCGCUUCUUCUUUCUCGAAAUAGGAUCGUCAGCCAACUGCUUGGUUAUGGAAAAGCUUCUCGAUCCAAAACACGUCAACCAAAUAUCUUAAAGAUGAUCAAACAUAGAGAUUUGAAGUCGUAAAAAUGAUCAAUCCUUUGGCGAUACUGUAAGCCUCUUUGCGAUCUACUGCUGCAGCUUCUAUACUAGCUAGUGCUAUCUCAGUCGAGCUUGUGAAUGAAUGAUCUAGCACUAACAGCUUUUUAUGUCAAUAAACAUCCUAAUAGAUUUUUAUUAUAGCAAAAGCCGAUGUUUUUCGAAAAGAAAAACAAAAGCUAAAUAAUUUUAACUUUAGAAGCCUAAAUAAUUUUAACUUUAGGUUCACGCUUCGUAUGCCGUUUUCUCUACCACAUUUGUUUUAUAGUGAGAAAUAUGUAAUUCCACCGGAUUAGGCUCGUGAAUGACUCCAGGUACCCAGAAGUGUAUAUACCUGAUUAAUUAUGCAUUUUUUUGUUAUAUUUGGACAACCUCCAAUUAAGCUGGUCAUGAUGAAAACACCCGUCUCUAAAUAUUAAGAUAAAUUAACCAAGUUAACGAAGUUAAGAGGUAUGUAUAACAAAGCUUGAAAUACUAGUCGAUCAGAAUCCUAAAUAUUAAGAUAAAUUAAUUCUAUUUCCGAUCAUCGAACGCAAGUCAUAAUUAACUAGAUUUGAAGAGACCAAACAUUACAUCCAGAUGGACUGCAAAUUAAGUAAACAGUAAACGCUUCAAGGAAAAUAUUAUUAUGACCAGCAAAAUUUUUUCAUGCAAUUUUUUUUUCCUUUUUCAACAAUCCAAAGUUCCAAACAUAGUUCACUCGUACCAUUUUCUUUUUUCUUUUUCUUUUUUCUUUUUAGCUCAAGUGAGAAGUUUACAUGUGUAUCCGAGAUAUAUAUAUAUAUAUAGCUCCCAACCUGUAAUAAGAGAAUAAAGAAAGGAUUAUGUUAGAGAGGGAACCGGCAGCCCACCAAAGCUCCCUCACUGACGGCCACGGGGAGCGGCCCGACGACACAUUUUCCGGCUAUGGUGAUGACGGCCCCUUCAAUGGUGGCGGGGUUGGCGGCGGACGGGGGAGGUGCGCUCAAUUCAUCAGCUCGGGGACAGAGAUCGCUAAAUAUAGAGAAAAGAAGAGUUCAAAAAAGAAAAACAAAAAAAACAAAUUGAGAGAGGGAGAGAUCGCUAAAUAUGGAGAAAAGAAGAGUUAAAAAAAAAAAAGAAAAAAAACAAAUUGAGAGAGGGAGAGAUCGCUAAAUAUGGAGAAAAGAAGAGUUAAAAAAAAAAAAGAAAAAAAACAAAUUGAGAGAGGGAGAGAUCGCUAAAUAUGGAGAAAAGAAGAGUUAAAAAAAAAAAAGAAAAAAAACAAAUUGAGAGAGGGAGGAGGUAGAGGGCAAAUGGGUAGGAAGGCGAAGCAUCACAGCAGCAGGUGGGUGAGUGGACAGAAAUGCAAAUUGUCACGGCAGGUGGUGAGCGGGCAGGUAUGCAAAGCGUCAGAGCAGGUGUGCGGGCAGCUAAGCGAAGCGUGACUCAUGCCAAGAUUAGUAAAUCAGUUUUUAUAUAUUACUAGUGAAGAGACCCAAGCUUUACAGCAGAUUAAAACCCUAAUAGUAAUUAAUAAUAAUAAAAUAUUAAAUAUUUUUUUGUAUAUUUUAUUUGGUACAUCUAUCAAAAGUAUCUCACUACAGACGGCAGAUAUGAACCCGACGAUGUCUUCUCCCGCGAUGGUGAUAGUGAUAGUGAAGGCGACGACGAGCUCUCCGACCGCGGCGGAAGAAGGAAUUGGGCGCAUAUUAGUGAGAGAGAGAGAGCGUGAGCGAGGGAAGGAGGCGAUGAUGUAUAUCUAGAGGUGAGAGAUAGAGAAUUGAUGAACAAAUCAGAGAUAAAAAAUUGAAAGUUCGGUGGAAGGAGGAAAAUGGGCCAUGAUGAAUAAUUAGAGAUAGAGAGGUUAGAAUCGUAGAUAGUAGUAGGAUCAUUUAAAUAUAUUAAUUGGAAGUUUGGUAGUGGAACCAUUUACAUUAAUUGAAAAUAUAGUGGAGAGAAGGUAGUGGGACUAUUUAAAUGUACUAAUUAAAAGUUUGAUUAAUGGGACUGUUAAAAUGCAUAUUGAUAAUUUAGUGAACAUGAUGAAUAAUUGGAGAUAGAGAGAUUAUGAUCGUAGAUAGUAGUAGGACCAUUUAAUAUACUAAUUGAAAGUUUGGUAGUGGAACCAUUUACAUUAAUUGAAAGUAUAGUGGAGGAAAGACAGUGGGACCAUUUAAAUCCACUAAUUGAAAAUUUGGUUAAUGAGACCGUUAAGAUGCAUAUUAAAAAUUUAGUGAUAGAAAAAAGAAAAGUCAUUUGUUAGUGAGGGUGAAAAAAAACUUGCCAUGUGGCAACAAAUAUUGAUGAUUUAUAUAGUUUAAUAGACUAGUGUAGUAAUCUGUGCUAUACAAUUAGGGGUGGAACUAGGUCGGGCUUGGGUCGGAUAAUAGUAUGCCCAAGCCUGGCCCAAAAUAAAAUAUUGGACUUCUGGUCGGGCUUUUUCCUAAUUUCUUUUGAAAAUUAAGGCCUGGCCCAAGCCCAAGCCCAAUACCCAAUACACAUCGAGCUUUGUAGAGGCCCAUUUUACUCAUAUAUACAUACAAAUUUUUAUUUGUAUAAAAUUAAAAUAAAAUACAUAUUUUUUCUGGGUUUGAUAAUUAAUAUAUAACAUCAAAUAUAAUACUAUUAAUAUCCACCAAUAUUUAUCCAUCAAUGAAAUAAAACCAAACAAAGAAAAUUAGUAAACUAAAACUAAGAUUUAGGCAAAUAGAAGCUGUUGCUUCAGCAAUCCUCACUUCUACUCCAAUAUUGGCAAUCAUAUAAAGUAAAUAAUAGGAUAAAAACUUCUCAUAAGAAUAGAACGUUUAAUUAAAUAGGGCAUAUAUAGUUUUCUAAAGGAGCGUUGUAGUAUUUUAAAAUUUUAAAAUUACACUUAAGUUAUGUACAUAGAACGUCUAAUUAAUUUUUUAAAAAAAUUUAAAAUAAUAUAUAUUUAGUAAGUGUUAUGUGCUAACUAAUUAGGUAUAUUUAAUAAUAUGUACUUUAUAAUAUAUCAUAUAUAUAUAUAUAUAUAUAUAUAUAUGGAAUUAUGCUACUAUACUAUCAAUAGUACCAAACCCUUGGUACUAUUGAGUUUUCGGCCGUUGGAUGAAAAGAUGUGCGGUUAGGAUGAUAGUGGUUCCCGGUUAAAUUGAUAGUGGUCCUCUAGGGUUGAGUGGGUGGUUGGUUUAAUAGUAUAAUCUAACGGAUGGAAAUGAUCAAAGGGUAGAUCUAAAGGUAGAAAGCUCAAUAGUACUAAGGGCUUGGUACUAUCGAUAGUAUAGUAGCCGGACCCUAUAUAUAUGAUAUAUUAUAUCAUUUAUUUCUUUUAUAAAUAAAUAUUAUAUAUACAUAUAAAAUUAAAUAUCAUAUUUUGAUAAUUAAUAUAUCGAGCUUUUGGGUCGGUCUCGAACGGAGCUUGGACAUGCCCAAAUAGGCCCAAAAUUUUUUCAGGCCUAAAUUUUAAGCCCGGCCCGAACCCAAAGUUAUAUUUAAUACCAAAGCCCGGCCCAAAUAUAGCUUAUCGGGCCGAGCCUUGGUUUAGGCCCGAGCCCAGUUCCACCCCUAGAUAGAAUGAGUGAAUUCAAGGAAACAAUCUGAUUGGUUCGGGAUACCACAUCAGCAAUAUGCUGGUGUAAUCCAGACUUUUUCGACUACCAUACUACCAGUGAUGUCAAGGCCCAAUCUUUAAGUUGAUAUUUAAUUAACUGGGCCAGCCCAUCACAAUGACAAACAAACAGGCCCACAGCCUACUCCCUUGUAACUCAAAAUUUAGUGAAACUUAAAAGGGUUCAGUCGUAAAAAGUGUACAUCUUAAUCAAAUGAUUUAAAAGAUUUGAUUAAGAAUCCAAAUCCAAAUCCAAAUAUUCACUCCAGCGAAUUCGUGACAACUAAGUAGUUAAGUUAUUAAUCUCACAAGUUGAGUACACCGUGUUCAAAAUGUCUCAUAAAUUCAACUCGGUGCUUGUAAGUUUUUCACUAUUAAAUUUAUUCUUUUGACCAAUUUUGCACUUAGAUUAUACUAUUCUAUUAAUCACCAACUCAGUCCUUUGCCUCUAUCACGAGAGGCAAAGGACUUAAUAAUUGAUAUCCGAGGUCCUAAUAAGAAGCUUAGUUACUUAAUAUUUUUUCAUCAAAGUUCAUUUUUUAAAAGCCAAACAAAGCGGCAGAUAGAGUACUAUAUAUCUUUCUCUCUCUCUCUCUCAAAAAAAAAAAAAAAGAAAAAAAAAAAAGGAAAAUAUGGCAGGGUAACAGGUUGCAGAAACUAUUGCAUGGACUGCAUUGUACAAGCCAAGAUCUUCAAUACUCAAAAAAAAACACUGCAUGACUCCACGGAAACAUAAAUUGAGAGUCUAGUCACCAAUUACAAUCAAUUUGGAGAUUAAGGACCGAACUGAAACUCUGUGACUAGUUGGUAACCAAUCGCAUAAUCUCCUCUUUAGAUAUAUAGCAUUCAAUUUUUCGCAAAAAAGCAACUGAAGGGAUCCAUUUUCCAACCCGAGACCUUCAAAUGAAAAGCCCUAAACAUCCUCGCGCCGGACCGCCUAUCGGACAUCCGAUCGCAAACCUCAGAAACGACCUCCCAUCCCCUCUUCUUCCCCUCCUUUAGCCUCCUCCUCAGUCGAUCGCCGGAACUCUCCUUCACCGAAAAUUGGUAGCUAUGUAAAAACGCGCUUCUUUUCGUAUGAUCUUGUCGGGCAUUGCCGAUUGGCUCGGCCGAACAAUGUGGCAGAAGGGCGGCGCCGGAGCCGGUCGCCGGCGGGCUGAACUCUGCCAUAUGGAAAAACUAAUACUCUUUUUUGUUGUUGUUGUUGUUUCUGCAGUAAAGUUUGUGUUCGAAGAGUACUACUAUAAAUAGUAAGUGUGAGUGAGAGAUAGGGUCGUUAGUUCAACAAAAUGUGCAUGCAAAUUUUUAAGUAGUUGGUGUCGAAUUGGUGCACCAAGCAUCACCAAUUAAUUGACACCAUUUAGAUGAUUGAUUUUUUAUUGCUGAAAAUAUAUAUAAAUAUAUGUCAGGUGUUAAUAGGGCCUUUUUUGGGAUGGCCCUCAAUUGUGAGAAAAUGUUGCUGCUGUCGCAUCUCAUUUGUACUGCUUUUGAUGUGAUAUAAUAAGCAUAGGUUUUCACCUGGCAUGCAUUUCCUACUACUACUUAUGUAAGAGAUUUUUACACAUGCACAGGGUUGAUCUGGUAACUUAAUAUCGACAGGUUGAAUCAGCAUCCUCCAAAUAUGAAUGGCACAGAUUCGUUUUGCCGCGGAACAAUCCUGUGUGUAAAAUUUUCUGCAUACGAAUUUUUUUGGGUAAUUGCAAGAUAUUAUUUCACCUAGUUUUUAAGAGGAUGUGAAGGAGCAUUUUGCCUUUUUUUUUUUUUCUCCAUAAUAGCUAUAAGAACCGUAUGAUAAACCUGGAGGCCCCGAACUCUGGCGAGCAUUUACUUCAGAUAGUUGCUUCCUUUUCUUGUUUUGUUUUGUUUUGUUUUAAUUUUUUCGGUCUUAUGAACUACACAAUAUCAGAGGUGCAACCCAUUUCAAACACAACGACGGGACAAAUAAAAGGCGAAAAACAGAUACAAGAGAGAGAGAGAGAGAGAUUCCUACAAAAUUACAAAUCUGGAGCUUAGUCCAUUGCUUAACACUUACUCGAGUCAUGCGCUUUGUUCAUACAUUAAACUAAAUUUAAAAUGGAAAAGAACAAUGUCUCUUUCGCUGUUUAUUUACGGCUGCAAAUCUACCGUCGACGGACUCGGCCCCUCUACCUGAUCUGGAAGAUGAAUCGGGAAAUUGAUCACCACCUACAGGCUACAGAGAGAUUUUGUCAAACUUGGUUAACAAAAUAUACGACAAAGAAUAGACACGGAAUUUGAUUACUUCGUUACCAACAUAUGCUUUCAGUAACUUCAUUUUUAAUUUCUCUUUUUUAAAGUCAAGAGAUUUCACGCCACACUUGGUUAUUACAACUAAGAUUUUAUUUUAUAAUUUGUUUCCUCAUUUAUUUUUUUUGGUAAAACGAGGGAAGUACGCUUGUGGUCGUGGAGAGAAUUCAUAUUAGAAUUAGAAUAGUUUAAAUUGGGAAAAAAUAAAGGCUACAUUUUUCUUCUCUUAUGUUAGUUCACAAAAAAAUUUUGCAGAAAAACGCACAGAAAAACAAUUUCCCAGCUGAGCUUACUAAGGCAACGAGUUCAUGAUCGUUAUUCGUUAUAAAAUAAACGUACGAGAAACAUAUGGCGAAUUUAAAUUCUUGGAAAUGAAUACACAACCCGAUGAGAUCCAGGGAAAAUUUCACCUAUGGACUAAACUUCGUAUUAGUAUACUUCAUCUCACUAGCACAAUUAAGCUACAACAUCACCCCCUCUACUAUGAAAAAAUAUAGUUGGCAGCUCGCAUAAUGAACCAACUAAAAUAGAAAUUGAAGUUCGAUAAUUCGAUCACAUCAAUCUUCAUGAAAUCCGCUAGCCUAAAUGAAAUUUUGCGACCAGCGAUCGCAGAUGUCCGGGAUACCUUGUUACUGAAUCAAUAGGGAUACCUUGUUACUGAAUCAAUAGUUUCAAUUGCGCACACAAUACCUGGAACAUUUUAGAGAAACAUGAGGGCCUAAAAAGUAGAAGGAAACUGGCGUAAAAUCAAGUCUCUUUUCAGAAAUAUAAGCUGGAAUAUUUUACUGGAGAGAAGAAAUUGCGCCGUAUCGAGGAGUGAAAUGAUAAGAGGAAAGGAGAAUCGGGCCGAAGUAUUUGAUUAAAGCAAACUAAGUCUACUAAACAUUUCUACCGUCUCAACUCCGAAUUAGAUUUCGCACUUGUCAACAGACAUAUAUGCUGCAAAUUACUAGUUCUGUACAGGUUCCAACCAGGUUGAUGAGUAUAGCUAAAAAAAUUUAUGCUGAAUCGAAAAUUUUUACGCAACCCGGAAUCAACGAAAGAGCUUGAGCUACUAUAUUGGGUUUGCUGUAUAAGAAGUGCCAUUUUACUUGUAUUUUUGUGUUGAACCCAACACAAAUUGUCUCUUAUUCUAGCAUUCCUCAGAAAGCAUAAAGAGAUGUAAAGAGACAGGAUUCUAACUUACGCGCACAUUAAAUACAUUUUGGUAACCCACUAAAAUGGCACAGAUUGAAGUUUAAUGAACCAAGUGUGAUGUGCAGAAUGAGUGCCUACUGUCAAAACCUCGACAACCUAAUCUACCUCUCUAUAUCCUAACUCUAGCAUUUGUCGGCCGAAUAGAAAGAUUGUUCCUUCGACUGCAAGUCGGUAGGGCCUUGUUUCUCUCAAAAAAUGAAAGAAAAACGAAGAAAGCAAGCUCAGAAUCAACAAAUGAUUUGUACCAAUAUUGCAAAACUUCGAUAAUGAAACGACGUAACGCAUACAGGUGAUAUUAUGUAAUACAAAAACUACGCAGAUCAGAAAGUAACAUAUGACAGCUAAAGUUCGCUACCUAAUGUAUAAAACAGUUUCUCAGCUUCCCCUUUCGCCCUCUUUACAGUAUUGUAUUAACUAAAAACACUUACAGAACAGACUAACAGAAACAGGAAUGUGAUUGAUUUUCCGGAAAACUAAAAAAGGAGAAGACGACUGAUUAAAAAUACUGGUUUCAAACCAACAAGAUCAUUGUCGAAAUGUGCAAGGAGUAAACUCGCUUACAGUAUUACAUACGUUGUAUUCGAGAAAAAUAAGUUCAUGGUUUUGAACAUGCCUUACGACUCGGUCAUGCACGAUAAGUACAGGAUUGUAAUUUAUUGUUAUAAAUUUAAUGUUAUAUAGGUGUUCAAUGUUCCAGCAUAGAGUAUCCACAAAUAACAUAUUAAGACAACCAGGUGCCUUUGGAUGACUUUGUACUGGUUAUGAUAGAGAACGAUGGGGUACGAUAUGGUACGUGCUGCGAGCGAAGAAAUUUCAGUGCAAGGGAUAAACUCUGUUGUCUGUUUUGAUGCAUGUGUGAAAAGGUACUGUUAAGCGCAGUUACAUUUACGCCCAAGUUAAAGCUUAGAGACCCUAAACUUUUAAAAGAGUUCCAUUUUAGUCAUUUUGCAUAUUUAGUAUUGAUCGUUACUAUGGUACAUUCAUAUACCAUGCAAUUAUUAAAAUGGAUGACGGAUUGACAGAUUCAUGUGGUCGGGACAUAUGAUGAACUGGGUCUCGAAUGAAAUAUUUUAGAACUAAAUGAAACAUGGUUAAAAGCUUAAAGGACUAAAAUAAAACUAUGUUGAUAGUUUAGGAUCUCGAACGUCAAACUUACAAGUUUGAGGACCAAACUUGAGUUCAAGUUCAGGGACAAGUAGUGCAGUUUACUGAAUUUAAUUACUUCCCUUUAGUUUCAAUACAGUUCUCCUUCAUUUGGUCUUUCGUCCUGUUCAUAGCGUACGAUUCUUCUCACAAUUUUAUAUUAUAUGACCAGCUUAAGUAUUUCCAAAUACUGAAUCAAUACUUACGUAAAUUGUAAUCUAGCUUAGUCAAGAGAAAUUUGGACUACAGGUCUCAUCUAACGCUCAUAAAUAAAAUGGAGUUGGCGUGAAAGCAUAGAAAUAAUUCUGCAUUUUCCGAUGGGAUCGCAGAAAAUAUAUCGUAACCAACUCAUUGUGAUAUAAGGAACGUGAUGUAUACGUAACGAAGACAAACAGGAUUAUUUUUCCUUCGUACUUUCUCUCCGCACGUAAUGCAACCUCCCCGCAAUCCCAAAUAGAGCCAAAUGUAAAGCUAUUGGCUUUCUAAAGUCCAUGAUAGUUGGCGUAAUGUCGGUAAACAUUGUGUUUGACGGGAUAGCGCAUCAACGUUGCGAAUAACUGCAAAAUGACUGGGGAUCGCAAUUACUGAAAUCGUGAUGGCAUAACUGCAGUCCUUUGAUUUCUAUAACUAAUACCUAAGAAUGGACUAUAUUGUAUCUCAAGAACAUACGACUUUAUUAUUUGACAUGAUUUUAGUAAUGAACAUGGACUAACAUAAAUUUUUCCCUACACUAGUUUUACUACAUCAUUGAAUUGCAUGGACUAUAUCAUGUCAGACAAACUAUUUAAAUAAUGUACCUUUUUCUUAUAGACUACUCAGUUGGAUGAAAAUAAGGUGAGAGAGUUUCUGUUCUAAGGCUAUCUUUAUAUCUUUCAUUUCUCUAAGAUUUUUUUUUUCUGCUCUCAUCUUAGAGAAACAUUAUAUCGCUCUUAAAUUUAUUACAUUCCAGAUACUAAAGUCAAAUAAAGUAGAAAAGUAGAAAAAUAGAAAAAUUUGCCACAUACUAAUCAAACUACUACUAACUUCAAUAUUCUGAACACUACAAGAGGGUGACAGAACAUUACAGAUGAUGCUCCAAUAUAAAAUUAUUCCAGGAGUAGGCAAAAGCUUUUGUAAUAGAUUAGAUUGAACAACAAUUGGCUUAAGAAAAACUUUUACCAGUCAGGGGAUCUUCUCAAGAAAAAUGAACUUAUAGCCAAGUGGAGUUCCCAAAGUGAAAGGAAUGCAGGGCAAAUCAGGAAGAUAUAUUGCUAAUAAGCAUAUUAUACAAAAUUUUAGGGCAUAUCAGGACACUAAGGACACCAUCAAACAAUAAAAUAGAAUCUUAAGACCUCAAAAAGGUAUGUGUGAAAAUCAUGGCAUUCCUAGAGCGGCACUAAAGAAAAAGUAACAAAUGAUAGUAUACAAAUGAUAGUAUGCAAAUGAUAAUAUGCAAAUUCAUCAGACUAGGAGUCUAAAAUUGCAACUGUCGUGCCAGGGGUUUGGGGGUUCUGUUGUUCUGUUGUCUAAAGAUUUACAGCAAGUCCAUGAAGUCAAACUAUAUAAACAUAAAUAGCUUCUUCCACAGUUUAUCAAUUUAAGUUCAGAUAUCCCAUUUAGAAACUAUAGUUCAAUUGUUCAAAAAAGUAAAGGAAAAACUAUCAGAAGAGCAAAUUCAAUGCAAAUAGAGGACACAAAAUUCAAAACAGUGAUAGAUGAAAUAUCAACACUAACACUUAAACCACAAACUAAAUGACUUCAAGAAAUCCGAAAUAAGUGCAAAAAGAAAAAGGAUAGAAAACUUCAAAAGGUAAUUCCACACAACACAUCUAUUGAAAAAUGGAAAGGAAUAGGAAAUAUGACUCCACAGGGGGGUGAAAAAAAAAAUCCAAUUUUAAACUAGUAGAAAAGUUGUACAUAGAUGGCUCACCAUCUCAAAAGCACCAUGAUUAACUAAUCGGUUUGUUAAUCCAAGGUGGAAAAACGAUUGAAGGGAAUGUCAUGAGAAACAUAAAAACUUAUAAGACUAUCAUGCAAAUAAUUAGAAGGAAUGCAUGCGAGAAAUCAGGAAGCGCACAAUGAAUAUAAAAACUAUGUAUGGUCAUCUAAAGUAACUAACCAGUUAGCAUGUACUACUAUUUAAAUAUGUUAGAAAGAAUAUUAACUAGGCUACAGAUCAUUAGACAAACAUAAAUCCAAGUUACGGGAAAGAAUGCAUACCUGUAAUAGAAGAUGAUUCCCCCUGUUAAUUCCUUGAUCCUUGCACACCCUGAGCACCAGCUUGUUGCUGUUGUUGAAUUUGGAGUAGUAGGCUGGCAGCAAACUGAAGGGUCGACUGAUACCUUUGACUCUUAUCCGCAUCACCAUCUGAAGUGCCGUGACCAGCACCAGAUAUAACAUUUUGCAGCUGCAGCUGAGUACCUUGAGAUGCAAAUUCCAUAUUCACCCUUUCAGUUGGCAUUGGCACAGUACUUUGUGGCUGAAUCAUUGAAGUAGGGUUUAGCUGCUGCUGAACUGGCUGGUUAAAAGAAACUCCAGGUGUGUAGGCUGUUUGUAACAUGCCAUAGCUGCUUUGAGAAGCCAUGGAAGGAUCAGACAAAUAUUGCUGGUUACUCUGCGAGGGUAAAUAUUGUCCAUUUUGGGACGGCAUAACAUAAGUAUUUAACGGUCCCGUAUUGGAAAUAGUAAGAGGUUGUGCUGCAUUCUGAAUUUGUGCACUAUUAAACUGUUGACCAAAAUGCUGAGGGAUAUUACUAACAAAAUGCUGAGGGAUAUUACUAACGGGAUCUAUUGCUUGAUGCCCUUGGCUCCAGCCUUGAAAUGGCAAUGAUGGUGUAUCGUUUACCACAUUAGUAGAAGAUGAAACUACCUUACUAGUGGGGGUUGGUGGCAUGUGAACAUUACCAGCAGCCGAUGGUUGUUUAUUUUCAGGUAUAAGAGAAGCUAAAGUAGCGAUUAGUUCAGGGGUUAAUCCAACUUGAGGUGCAGCAGUAUGACUGCUGUUACUAUGAUCUGGGGGAGCUGAUUGAACACCACGUAAUUCAUCGGGAUGCACGCUCGGAGGCUUUAUAACUCCUGGAGUAUAAGGCAAUGGUAGCUCGAGCGAAGAAGACCUAUUAUAACCAAUUCUAAUAUCUUGCUCUUCAUUCCGAGAGGCAUAAUUAUACCCUUUGUUUAACACAGGUGGAUCAUGGCGAUCAACGUAAUUAGACGAUGAAGGAGCGGACAGUUGAUGGUAAUCUUGCGCCUCAGCGCCUGUUGAUUGCUGGGGAAGGUGCAAAACUACACCAUAAAGACGCUCAGGGCCUUUAACUUUCAACACAUUAGUCAAAAAAUCUGAUGGAGGAACCAAGAACAGUGUUGUUCCAUCGUCCAGUUUUGCGACCCCAGCACGGUUUUUAAGGCCCAGGUAGCGGAGGAAUUCGGUGUAGGAAGCAAAGUCUUCUUCACUAUCUGGUAGAAAGAAGACAAUAUCGAAACCAUUCGCCUCAGCAUAGUGUUUUGUCAGCAUGUCCAAACCCGUUCUGGCUGAGCAAUUAACAACAUCAGAUCUGAGGAGAGGAAAAAAUAAAAACACUAUCAGAAUAAUCACACUUAGAGAACCAACUACUAAAAUCACAUGUCCAUCAAUGAGUUCAGUUCGGUUUUCACUUUAGCUGUUAAAAUCAUCUAAAAACUGUUGUUCAAGUUAUUACAUAUUCAUUUAAUACUGCUUAUUCAGUUCUUGAUAUGCACAACUGAACAAACCAAAUUAUAUAUCAAGUCGAACUUAGUAAACAAAAUUGGCUGCCUUAAUUUUAGUUCACUAAUCUAGUUAGGACCCAUUAGCACAUAUCCCUAACGAAAACGAAGACAAAUAAGUAUAAAGGGGUGAUAUUCAACAUACAAAGGAGAGGUGAUGCCCUUUCCAAUUGGCACACAGCGAGCACAACAAACAUGGGUUCCGCCUUUGGCCAGUAUACCACGCCAGAUGUGGCCGCUAUCUGGGGAUUCACGAACCUCACCACGGACUCGAAUGGGGGGACUCAGAUAUCUUUGACCAAAUGCAGCUCUCUCAAGAAGAGGAAACUCGGAAAGGUCCCCAAAAUCAUCAUCAUCCAUUCUCAACCUUUUUGUUUCUCUCAUGUCCAAUCUAUCCCAUUCACCAGGCAUUGAAUGAAAAGAUGGACGAAGGCUUGUUGGAGAAGGAAGUAUUCCUGGUGCUGACGGGGAUGACCGCAGCCAAAGGGCAGGUCCAGAUUUAUUAGCAUUUGAAUCAGGAAAAUUUGGCAUCACGCCACCAAAUUCAUGGAGCUCAGGACCUCCCUCAUGAGGAUCAAAUCCUUGUGGCGCGAAUGGUUUCAUUGAUAUACUUGAGCCAGGGACACCAUUAGGAAAGGACCCAGAAAAUUUGUUCGGACCCAUUGAACGGCCGGACCCAACCAAGUCCAGAGGCCCAAAAGGGCCUUCAUUGUAAAACAUGUCUUGUCCAGGCCCUCUAAGUGGAGGAAAGGGAGGCAGGAUUUCAUCCUUGAGUCCUGCAAGUUCAUUGCUUGAAUACAGAAUCUGAAUCCUAGGGUCAUUAAAAAGGCGGCCUUGGAGGCCUUCCUUUGCACGCCUAGCUUCAUCGACACUUCUAAAUUCUAUGAAAGAAUAGUGCCUCGACGGGAAACACUUGAUUCUCUCAAUUUCACCAAACAGAAUCAUUGCUCGGUGAAGCAUCUGCUCAUCAAUCUGCACAGAUGGCGGAUAGCUUAUCCAAAGAACAUUGGUAGGGCGGCUGUCUCUUUGUCCUCCAUGAGGCUGAAAAAAAUUGAAAAUAAAAUGUAAAACACCAUGAGAAGCUUUACCAGCAUCCAACACUGCCACAAGUAAAUGAGGAAAAGUAAAAUAAGCUGCAAAAUAUACCAUAUAUUUUCUUGGUCCAUGGUUCACUGAAUCAUAGAAACCCCCUGUCACAUCAGCAGGUCCCAAGCCCCUACUGUUGAAAGGUCCAUUUCUUAAGUCAUGAUCAGGCCAUUCCUGUUCUCAGGAUAAUAACAUGAUAGUAUGAAAAUGUACUACAUACAAUCUACGUUAUGUAAAAGUGGCACACAAAUUCAUCAUGCAAACACACCUUUCUCAUCGGUUGAGAUCUUUGAAAGUCCACACAUAAUUGGUCACCACCUAAACGCUUUCCAUUCAUGUUCUUGUGAGCAGAGAUAGCAUCCUCCAUCUUGUAGUAGUCAAUAAGAGCAGAAUUCCGUUCUCUAAAGAACUUGAACUCUUCAAUCUUUCCAAAUUUCAAAAACUCCUCCUCAACUUUUUCCUUUGUAAUAGAUGAGCUAAUACCUCCAACCCAUAAAUGCCUAACUGCCUUUGCCUGCGUAUAAAAAUCAACUGAUUAACUGCUAGAACCAUAUAAAAUAUAAGCACAUUUAGAUAUCUCAUAGUUAUGCACAAACAGAAUGACAGAGAGCAUUCGGACAACACAUUUUAUGAAAAAUCUUUUCCAAAAGAAAUAGCACAUUCAUAAUUCAGGUAUAAACCAUCCCAAAAAAAUGAAAAAAAAUGUAAAACCAUUUAUUGUGAUUUAGACAUCUGCAGGCAGUGAAUCAUUUGAUCUAGUGUUUGAUGUUUCUCAUAUACAUCGCAUGGAUCAAAUAUAAAAGAAGAAACAGGUCAAUACAAGAUUUGCUUUAAUCAAAUUACAAUUUUUUACUACUAAGGAUUUCUAAUAGAAUAAAAACACAAUGCUCUGCAUGGCUAAUAAAAUACUGCUAUAUUAACCAACCAUCAAUAAAAUUCAACCCAAAUGCAUUUGAAUUCACUGUAGUGCACCAAAAUUGUAGGCCUCAAGAUAACAUUCUUUUCACCUUUUCAUUCACCACCUCUUUCUCGAUGCUCUUGGACGUUUCAUUAUAUCUUUUUUUUUAGGAAACGCCUAAAUUUUCUGUUUUUUCUAACAUCGUUAAUUUCAUAUUUUUCUUCCUAUACAACAAACAAGAUUAAAUCUUACACAAGGAAAUAAACCUCUCAAGAAUUCAACUAACUUUGAACCCCCAACUGCACCAAAACUGCAAGAAUUUGAUCACUAUGAGCUUAAUUAACAUAACAGAAGGCAACAUAAAUUGUUCAAUUAACCUCAUCUAAUCAUAGCCUGUAUACAUAUAAAAAGGUUCAUCAAGAUCCAUUGCAUUCAACGUUUAGGACCAACUAAAAUCGAAAUCAAAUGAAAGAACACAGUUCAAUACUAAAACCUAAUCAGAGAAAACUAAAACCCUAAUCAGAGCAUAAAAUCUAUCCUCGUUAUGUUCCCCGAUCAAAACAAAGAACGACAUAAUCAAGAACACAAACAAAUUUCCUCAUCAAUAUACUCACAAUUCACACCGAACCACGCGAGAGAGAGAGAGAGAGAGAGAGAGAGAGAGAGAGAGAGAGGAACCGGUCGCGAGAAUUGAAUCCUAAUGGCACUCCUGCGGAUGACAGAGCCCCGAAGGGCGUCCAUGGCGGCGCGGGCGGUGUCGGCGCUCCGGAACAUCACGAAGGCAUAGCUCCGCGACCCGGCCUGCAUCGCCACGCAAUCGAGCGCGCCGUGCGCCGCGAACGCGGCCAUGAGAUCGGCGUCGGUGGUGCCCGCCGCGAGGUUCCCCACCCACAGCGUGCUCGUCGGCGUCACCUCGUCCUCCGCCUCACUCGGCUGCUUCUGCUGCUGCUGCUGCGACAUCGCUCGCCCAGCGCCGGCCCUAGACGAUGAGGACCGAGAACUCGAGCAAAAAUGGCAUCAAGGAAUCGAAAUUAGGGUUUGGGAGAGGGAGAAGAGGGUGGAUUGUAGCGAGAUCUCGAGGGGGAGAAAAGGGGAAUUAGAGAGGGGAAGAGGGAGCGAUUUUGGAGAGGAUCGGAUUUGGCGUUGGAAACCCUAGAAAAGGGGGAGUGUUUGGGGGGGGGUGUUCGAUUAAAGCGCUCCUCGCCUCGACGUGAUCGUGCUUUUAUAGUGGUGUGAACUGAGCCGGCCGAAGCUGAACCGAACCAAACGGCCCUCGGACCGGCUUCGCGUGUGUACGGUUUUGUGUAAGGGGCUGUUAAAUGGGUUGGGCCGGACCAUCGGGCCGAGAAUCAAGGUUUUUAUUUAGGUAAUAUUUUUUGAAGGUAAUAUUCCUUUUUGACGGAAAACUUGUAUGGAUACCCCUCAACUAUAGGAUAGCUUGAAAAUAGGACCCUCAACUUCUUUGGUUUUUUAUUGGGACUCUCCCAACUUUUAAUUGUUUAGAAUUAAGUGAUUUUAAUUUUUUUAAAAAAUAGAGAUUUUAUAAAAUAUAUUGGUAACUUCAUCAAAUUUGAUAACUAUUAAUUAUUUUUUAUCAAAUAAAAUUAUGCCAAUUAACAAUUAAUAACAGAUGAAGUCAUUCAAUUUGAUUUUUUUUUUUAACUUUACUAAGCAUAAAAAUUCCAAACGAAAUUAGAUGUUGAGGGGGCCUCAAUAAAAAAAAAAAAAAAAAAAGCAUGGAAAAGUUGAAGGGGCUAUUAAGCUCUCCUAUAGUUGAGGGGUCUUACUUUUCUUUUUUGGGAUCCAUAGGAUUAGUACGACCUAUAUGCCCUUGUUUGGUUGGGGUUAAGGGGUGAAAUAACCCCUUAAUCCCCAUGUUAUUUUCAAAUAUCCUAAAAAAUGGAUGGGGUUAGUAAUUCCAACUCAAAUAAAUUAUUCCGGAUUAGCUAACUCCACCUAACCCUACCAAAUUCCAACCAAACACUAUUUUCUAUUCAUAAUAAUCCACUAUCUUUCUUAUCCCACAUACUCAAAUCAAUCAUUAUCCUUCUUUAUCAAUCGUUAUCUUCUUAUCCCACCUACUCCAACCAAAUACUAUUUUUCAUUAUUCUAAACUAACUUCAACUCCCAACCAAACAAAAAAAAACUUUAACCCCAUUUUAAUCCUAAACUUAACUCUAUCCCUGGAAUAACUACUUUUUUCUUAACCCCGAACCAAACGAAGGUUAAAUAUACUGAACUAGUGAAGACACCAGUACGACGACGCAGUGAAUCACUUCCACACAGAAGCAAAUAAAUAAAAGAAAAUAAAGAAAGAAGAAAUAGGAAGAGUUCAAAAUCAUAAGAAUAAUUAAUUAUUUAUAACAAGAGUAAAAAUAUUUCUAUAGUUUAUAUAAUAUAAUAUAAUAAUAAUAAUAAUAUAAAUAUAUAAAUUUCUAGUUGAGUACAGGUGGCAACGAGGGGGCGCAGAUGCGGGCGGGGCCCAGGGCGCGGGCCGUAAGCGGGCACGGCCGGAAUGCAAAACAACCCAUUAUUAUAAACCAUUAACCUGGCUCCAAAAAUUGGUUCUAUUUCAUGGACCAGUCUCCUCCUCUACUCCGGUCACCUCUACUAAGUCAAUCCACUAAUGUCCACAAAUUUCUUAUCACAAUAAAUUAGAUGGUUGUAUCCACUAAUUGUCCACCAAUUUUUCACAAAUUUUUUUUAUCACAAUAAAUUAGAUGAUUUAGAUGCACGAAUAUACUGUAAAUAGGUGCCUUUUAGUUACCCACUUUGUUUAUUUUUUAUAUUGUGUGAAUGUGCAAAAUUUUUCUAAAUAGUACAAUCUUGAUCUAAAGAGUAUAAAAUUUAUUUUAAAAAAUAUAAUUUUUAUAUCAAAUAGUAUAANNNNNNNNNNNNNNNNNNNNNNNNNUAUAUAUAUAUAUAUUGUCACCACCUCUUUCUUCCUUUCUAUUGCAACCACCGCGACGUCAUCGGAGGCGAUCUCGCCGCCUCUAACGACCUCUUGGCGUUCCGACGCGCGGUGGAGAAGAAAAGCCUAUGCCUUGACGUCGCCGUGUCUUAGUGGAGAAGGAGGGUCGCAGCGUAACCACAGCAUGGCAAGGGUGCAUGGGUGAGGGCGAGGGAGUGCGGGGCAAAGACGAGGCGGGCUGUUUUCAUCUCCGCCUACGAGAGAAAAAAAAAAAAAAAAAAGAGAGGAAAAAUAAUAAAGGUAUUUUGAUUAGUUUGCUGAAAAUCCGAUCCGAAUUUGAAAAAACGAAAAAAGUGGUCCACUUUUGCAAAAGCACAAAACUAAUAAAUUUUUUAUGCAAAUUGGCCUUCUUUUCAUUUGGCGAUAUUUUAACCAACAUUUUUAAAUAUCACGCUGAACUAUCUUAGGACAAUUUUAAGUAUCGUUAAAUAUAAUAAAAAAAACAUCCUCAAAUGGUAAGUUUUUUGCAGUGCAAUCUUAACAAUCCACUUUGUUUAUUAUUAUUAUUUUUUUUUGUAGUGCACGAAUAUUCAGCUACAAAUAAAAGUAGGUGCUUUUAGCUUACUCACUUAAUUAAAAUAUAAAAUAACUAGAUUUUGAAUUUUAUUUUUUUUGUAGUGCAUAAAUAUACAGCUACAAAUAAAACUAAGUGGCUCUUAGUUGCUGAAUCCACUGGAACCGUCUGUUCUUAGCGCAAGUGGCUCUUAGUUUAUUUUUAAAUAAAUAAACAAAACAAAUAGCAUGCUACCUUUUUCUCUCUUAAAAAAAAAAAAAAGAAAAAAAAAAAGAGCUUAUCCACUUAAUUAAAGUAGGUGCUUCGACAUUUUAAAUUUUAGUGACAUUUUGGAGAAGUAUUGCUGUUCUCACACGGUGUACUACUUCCUUACGGCAACUACAGACUUUUCGACUAAGCAUGGAAAUUAGUUUAUCAUCAAUCUAGUUACCAAGAUUGAAUACGAACGAAGAGCUACUGCAGGAUUGCUAUAGCUUUAGCUUUUUCUGGUCUUUUUGAGAAAAAGCUUUUUCUUGUCUUAGUUCGUAGAAUGGAAGGCUUUUUCCAUGCAUUAUUUUUUCUCAUCAUUCUGCUACAUGUGAUCUCCAUCGCCCGGUGCACUGCCGCCGCUGCCGCCGGGAUCAAAGAAGCUGCAUCCGACCGCGCCGCCCUCCUCUCCCUCAAGUCCCUCGUCGAGGACGAUCCGUUCGGAGCGCUCUCCUCGUGGAACAACGGCUCUCUUCACUACUGCAGGUGGCGCGGUGUCUCCUGUGGCCGCCGCCAUCCCAACCGGGUCACGGCCCUCGACCUCACGUCUCUCCGCCUAGCCGGUCUCAUAUCGCCCUCCGUAGCCAACCUCACAUUCAUCCAGAGGAUCGACCUGUCCGACAACAUGCUAGACGGGAGCAUCCCAGAGGAGCUAGGAAGCCUACGCCGGCGGCUGCGAUAUCUCAACCUGAGUGUGAAUUCUCUUCGCGGAACGAUCCCGUCUUCGCUCGGCAAUUGCUCAAAUCUUCAACUACUCAACUUGACAGAUAAUAAGCUCAAUGGUGAGAUCCCGCCGACCCUAUCGCGUCUUUCCGGUCUUAGAAAGCUUAUCCUGCGUUGGAACAUGUUACAAGGAGCAAUCCCUUCCAAUCUAACACUGUGUCAAGAGCUUCAGGUUAUUGAUCUAAGUCAUAACAUUCUCACGGAAGAAAUUCCACCAGAGCUUGGCUAUCUCCAAAAGCUAAGAGGGUUAGCACUCAGCUACAAUAAUCUUACAGGAGCCAUCCCUGCUACUUUGGGCAAUCUUGCUCAGCUUCAAUACCUUUAUCUACAAUUCAAUAGCUUUAUUGGACCCAUCCCAGAUUCAAUUGGCAACCUCUCCUCCCUACAAUUUCUUCUUUUAGAUGAUAAUAGCCUGUCAGGACCCAUGCCUCCAUCCUUUGGUAGCCUUCUCUCCUUGAAGAUACUUGAAAUCGAAUUCGCUGGUCUCACAGGAACCAUUCCGCCCACUCUCACAAAUCUCUCCGCUCUGAACGAGCUUGCACUACGAGGAAACAACCUUCAUGGUGAAAUUCCUCACUUUGCGAAACUUCCAUUCCUCUCUAUCUUGGACUGUGCUGUUAAUUAUCUCUCAGGGACGAUCCCAAUCUCGCUCGGACGACUUUCAUCUCUCCAAUAUCUCAAUCUCGGGAUGAACAACUUAACAGGGGAAAUACCGUCAUCCCUUUACAAUCUAUCAUCCCUGACGGCCUUAGUACUCCCUCAUAACCAACUCAAGGGAACUCUACCCUACGAUAUCGGAAAUGCACUUCCGAACCUUCAAUUGCUUCUUAUGUAUGAGAAUCAGCUCGGGGGGCGAAUUCCGGCAUCCUUGUCCAAUGCUUCUGAGCUCAACAACAUUGAGCUAUCGGUCUAUGCAUUCCACGGCACGAUACCGCCGAGCCUUGGAGCCUUGCAGAGUCUCUCGUGGCUCGAAUUGUUCAGUAAUCUACUCGAAGCCAAAAAGCCUAGUGAUUGGAGCUUCGUUACAGCAUUGAACAACUGCACCAGUCUCCAAGUCUUGGAUCUAGGAGACAAUCUACUUCAAGGCAUGAUGCUCAAAUCAAUAGUCAAUCUUUCCACUAGUCUUAAUAUUUUGGCACUAGAAGACAACCAACUAUCAGGAAUUAUACCUGCUGAGAUUGAGAAGCUCAUCAAUCUAACUGUCCUUGACGUGAGUGGUAACAACCUUCGAGGCACCGUUCCCGUAGAAAUCGGUCAUCUUAGGCAACUACAGCUUUUAGAUCUGUCAAAUAACAUGCUUUCGGGCGAAAUUCCUCCCACUUUGGGCAACCUAACACGAAUGGACAAACUCUAUCUCGACAGCAACGAAUUUGAAGGAGCCAUUCCGCCGACAUUAAGCAACAUGUUAAUGCUAGAGUUGUUAAAUCUAUCAAAUAAUAGGCUAAGCGGUAGCAUUCCGAAAGAAGUUUUGAGCCUUUCGUCGCUCGCGAGCUUCCUUGACUUGUCACAUAAUUUACUAAACGAUUCAUUACCAUUAGAAGUGGGCAACUUGAUAAAUAUCAGGGAGCUUGAUCUCUCAAAUAAUAGGCUCUCUGGUGAGAUUCCAGACACCAUUGGCAAAUGCGCAAUCUUGGAAAUCCUUCAUCUAGCGAAUAACUUAUUUCAAGGGUCCAUUCCUUCUUCCUUGAGCAAUUUAAGAGGGCUCAAGGAGCUUGAUGUCUCAAAAAACUUCUACUCGGGCCAAAUACCCGCAUUCCUUGAUGAGCUCCCAGAUCUACGAAACUUGAAUCUCUCCUUCAACAGUUUUGAGGGUCGAGUGCUGAUGAAAGGGGUUUUUACGAAUGUGAGCGAAGUCUCGCUUAUCGGAAACCCUAAACUCUGUGGCGGAAUUCCAGAAUUACACUUGCCGAAAUGCACUUCAGAUGCCUUUGCAGCAAAACGUCACUCUGAUUAUAAACUCAAGGUAAUACUCAUUCCCAUAGGUGGAGCAAUUUUGUGUUUGAUUAUAAUCAUGUGCUUGCGUGGGAUACAUCACUUGAUAAAAAACUCCCGGAGAAAGCCGAUGUCAAGGUCUUCCUUAAGAAACCGACACACGAAAGUAUCUUACAAUGAGCUCUUCAAGGCUACACAUGGGUUCUCCUCAGAUAAUCUGAUCGGCAUGGGCAGUUUUGGGUCGGUUUAUAAAGCCGCCAUGAACUAUGAAAAUGCCGACAUUGUUGCGGUGAAAGUGUUUAACCUUCAACAGCAUGGGGCUUUCAGGAGUUUUAUGUCUGAAUGUGAGGCCUUGAGAAGCAUUCGACAUCGAAAUAUUGUCAAAAUUCUUACAUCAUGCUCUAGUUUGGAUCACCACGGUAACGAUUUCAAGGCCUUGGUUUUUGAGUACAUGCCUAAUGGGAGCUUAGAAGAGUGGCUACAUCCAAAUGCACGCGGGAAUAGGCCAUUCAGAAGCCUAAGCCUAAUCCAGAGGUUGAACAUAGCCAUCGACGUAGCCUCGGCAUUAGAGUAUCUUCAUCACCGAGGGUCUGUGCCGAUUGUUCACUGUGAUCUUAAGCUGAGUAACAUCCUUCUAGACAACGAAAUGACAGCGCACGUGAGCGAUUUUGGGUUAGCAAAGUUUCUGCGGCAACCGCCUGAUGAAUCAUCUCGGUGUUCAUCUACCGGCACUGUGGGGAUCAAAGGAUCUAUUGGUUAUGUUCCUCCAGGUGUGAAAUAUGCAAUGGAAUGCUAACUUUUUUCUUGCUUUACACCAUUUCAGAAAAAAAAUAUAACACAUUUUUAUUUGAUUCCUAACUACAUCCAAUAUUUUUUGCUGCUCACUAUCUUUUGAAGCAAAAACAAGUGAAUAGCAUAAGUUUAAUAAAUAAUAUGAUAAAUUGAGUGUAUUAAUUAGUAGAAAAGGGGAAAAAAAUAUUGUAGGAAACAAAAAGGAUACUACAUUUUAGCCACGAAAACUGACAUACUAGAGUUAGAAUUAACAGCUCGAUGCUUACUACUAAAAACUAAUUACUUAUGAUCACUAAACACGCAAGAGCUGGAACUUUAUUUCUACAUAUCUGAUGCUAUUUUAGAGUCAAUUUAUAAACUAAAAGAUCAAACUUAGUUUUUGUAACUAUGGCUUGGAAACAAUAGGAACCAAAUCCAAACCCAAAUGAAUUCACCUGACAAUCUUGUAUUAUCUGUUUCCAACUAACUAAUGUUGUGCAGAGUAUGGAAUGGGCUGUAAACCGUCUAGGCUCGAUGUGUACAGCUAUGGAAUUCUUCUGCUGGAGAUGUUCACUGGAAUGAGCCCCGUCGACGACAAGUUCAAAGACGGACUGAGCCUUCGUGGAUAUGUUCGUGCUGCUGCUGCUGCUUCUCCUGAACAUGUCAUGGACAUCGUAGACAGAAACCUGCACUCAGCUGAUAAUGAUAUAGCUUAUCGAGAAGAGCGUGUGCGAGAUUGCGUAGUUUCGGUGUUCGACUGCGGUCUCUCGUGCUCGAACGAAUCGCCAUACGAACGAUGCGACAUGACAAAAGUCUUAAAGGAGCUGAGUGCAGCAAGAGAGAGGUUUCUUAGGUAAAAGAAGUUUUGCUCCCUAUGCUAUGGUUCUCACUAGAGGCAAAUGAAUGCUGGUUUGAUCAUCCUCUGCUUUUCCUUAUUUUACAUUUAAAAAAUAACUUUGUGUCAUGCAAAUGCCUAGUCCUUAUGGUUUUGAUCACUCCUUUCUAAAAUGAAUACAACCAAAAGGAGACAAGCACUUCAAAAUUUGCAUCUGUAUACAUUAAUAGCUUCAAAUUCCUAAUUUCUGGCUCAAGUUUAUAACUGACGCCUAAUGAAAACACUUUUAAACAGAAAGCUCCAACCCCCUUUUUUUUUUUUUUUGAGGAAACAGGGGUAUACCCUAUUUAGACAGGAAUGGAAAGGGUUACAAAAAGUCGAAGAUAAAAGGCUAGCUACAGCCCGGAUCAACAAAAGGGUCGAAACACUGACCGAAACACAAACACGAUCAGCACCUACACCCAGACUUUACAAGACAGAAGAAAGUUGCUGGUGACCUCAAGUAAUAAUAGCGUUUCCAAUUACCAAUCAUUCCCUCAUCCUCUUAGCUCUGAUGUCCACAGAUUUACCAAGUUAUGAACUCUACUUGCCGUAUCAUCCGUUCGCGUAGGUCGGUCUUCAAAUAUGCGCCUGUUUCACUCUUUCCAUAUUUCCCAACAUGCUGCAGUAAAAUAAAGAUCAAACCAUUUCUUUUGCCUCCCUCCGACAGAACUCCUUGGAUGAUCCCAUCGAUCAGGUAAAUCACCUGGGUGUGUAUUUAUCGAGAGUUGGGCUGCCGGAGUUGUUUGUAGGAGCUGAGCCCACACCGUCAUCGCAGGAUGUGUUCAAGGUUUUCACCAUUCGUAGAGCAUAGAGCGCAAAUCGGCGGACCGUGCCAGCCCUUUUUAGUUAAGGUAUCAUCUGUCAAUACUCUAUUUCUCGCCGCAAGCCACAUGAAGAUUUUAACUCGCAGGGGGAUCUUGAUCUUCCAAAUAAAAGAAAUUCUGCAAGCAUCUAGGCCAUCAAAGCUAAGAAAAAAAAUUCUGAAAGCAUCUAUGCCAUCAAAGCUAAGAAAAUAAAAGAAAUUCUGAAAGCUCCAACCCUAUUUAGAAUGGUAUAUAUACAAAUUUUGGAUUUUUUUUUUCCCCCUUUUUAAUUAUAGAUAGCGUAGGGUGUAUAUACCUGCUACUAUCCUUCUAAGACAACACAGUUCUUUAUCCUAUUAAGUUGUUUCUUUCCAAUGGUGAUAGGACAUUUGGAUCAACAAUCUGCACUGAUAAAUAUGAUUUUGGGCAUUGUAAGUGAACCAAAUUUUCUGAUUUUUAAAGAUUAUUUUAUGGUUCACAACAUUCUGAAAAUGAAUUAUGGGAUUCAUCAAUUUAAGAUCAAAGGUAUGCACCUUGAUCUAUAUAGUUUAAAUUAUUUUCAAACAAAAAUUCAAGCAAUGUAGACUCAAGUUGUCGAUUUUGAGAUGCUUCAAUCAGUACAUGAUGUCAGGAAAUAAUUGAAUUUUAGUUCCCAGAGAGAGUUUACUUUGAACGAAAUCCCAAUUCAAUAAACUGAAAUAACCCCAACAAAAUAAAUAAAGUUUAGAAGGUGUCUAUUGAAAAGGAACAAUGAAAUUGAGGGUCCUAUUUUACAUGGCCUGUAGUUGCGGUGACUCCAUGCAUGUUUACCUAAAAUUAGCACAAAAUAGAGAUCUUAAGAGACCAAACAUUACAUCCAGAUGGACUGCAAAUUAAGUAAACAGUAAACGCUUCAAGGAAAAUUUUAUUAUGACCAGCAAAACUUUUUCAUGCAAAUUUUUUCUUUUCCUUUUUCAACAUUAAUCGAAACAUAAUUUACUUGUACCAUUUUCUUUUUUUCUUUUUAGCUCAAGUGAGAAGUUUACAUGUGUACCCGAGAUAUAUAUAUAUAUAUAUAGCUCCCAACCUGUAAUAAGAGAUUAAAGAAAGGAUUAUGUUAGAGAGGGAACCGGCAGCCCACCAAAGCUCCCUCACUGACGGCCACGGGAAGCGGCCCGACGACACAUUUUCCGGCUAUGGUGAUGACGGCCCCUUCAAUGGUGGCGGGGGUGGCGGCGGAGGGGGGAGGUGCGCUCAAUUCAUCAGCUCGGGGACAGAGAUCGCUAAAUAUAGAGAAAAGAAGAGUUCAAAAAAGAAAAAAAACAAAUUGAGAGAGGGAGAGAUCUCUAAAUAUAGAGUAAAGAAGAGUUAAAAAAAAAAGAAAAAAAGAAAAAAAACAAAUUGAGAGAGGGAGGAGGUAGAGGGCAAAUGCGUAGGAAGGCGAAGCAUCACAGCAGGUGGGGUGAGUGGACAGAAAUGCAAAUUGUCACGGCAGGGAGGUAGAGGGCAAAUGGGUAGGAAGGCGAAGCAUCACAGCAGCAGGUGGGUGAGUGGACAGAAAUGCAAAUUGUCACGGCAGGUGCUGAGCGGGCAGGUAUGCAAAGCGUCAAAGCAGGUGUGCCAGCGGAAAAAUUCUACAAUGCAACGGGUAUAUUAAUGACGUGGUGAUGUAUAACAAAUCAAUUAAAUAUUUUCUUUUAGAGAUAUAUAUUCUAUCAUAAUUAUAAAAAAAUAUUUUUAUUGUACUUUUAUUUGAAAAGAAGGAAUGCGAUUGACUUGCUAUUAAUGAUGUGGUGCAAGUAUGAUAGUGUAGAAUUCCUCGUGCGAGCGGGCAGCUAUGCGAAGCGUGACGCAUGCCACGUUAGAUUAGUAAAUCAGUUUUUAUAUAUUACUAGUGUAGUUACCCGCGCGAUGCAACGGGUAGACACUAUCGAAACAAUCAUUAUUUCUAUAAACUAAUUAAUAUUAGUUUAAAUGGCCGGCAAAAAUUGGUAAAAAACUAUUAAAGAUGACAUUUUCAUACUUAUUAACUCAAUAAUCUAUAUAAUCAAACUCAAUAGUUUAGUAAAAAAAAAAGAUUAUAAGAAAAGCCAAAUACAAAAUUUACAAUUUGAUUACACAUAACAACUCAAAUAAAAAAAAUUGUUACAAGUUCAAGCGAGUGUUAAUUAAAAAUUAAAUAAAAUUGAGGGCCUAUUUCAAAUGGCUAUAGAGGAUCUCUCGGUAAAUAUUUUUACCAAUUCUUUUUUAAUAUUUAAAAAAAAGCCAAGCAAAGCCAAACCUGCACAUCUCCGGACCCAAUUGUUGCCCUUAUGCCUGGCGAAAUCUUGAUGAGUGAAUGAGCCCUAAAACCCCACAGAAGUGAACACCUCAUGAGCAUCUACUACAAACCAAUUUGAAUUAUAACAGAGAUGUGUAACUUGAGUUACCUCUAACAUGUAUGUAACAUUCUCAAAUCCUAGAAAUAUAUAUAUAAAUAAUUAAACACAACAACACCUGAGCAGAAGCAAAUACCCUAUAACAUAAGACCAUGAAUAAUAAGUUGUGAUUUUUCAAAACCAACCUCUAUGAGGGUGAUUAGGAAACCCAGCGGGAGUAGAAACUGCAACAAAACAAAUUGUAAUUCAAGCGAAAAAAAAAAACCUGACUUAAAAAGAAAAAAAACAGUUGAGAAAAAUCAAGCAAAAUUUGAAAGAAUUUAAUGAUAAAAAUUCUAAAUUUUUUAUCCAAAUCGGAAAAAAAAAAAAGGUUUUCACAUCUUUCUAGAAACCAAAAUAUCUUCAAACUUAUCCAGGAGAAGGAAAGGAUCCAAGCUUCUCAGCUCAGGCCUGCAAAUCACAUAAACCCCAUCAAAUUAACACCCAAAAUAGAAAAACCAAAAGGUACAUAUAUAAAAAAAAAGAAUGAAUUCAUGAAAAUGACUUUUUUUUCUUUCACAAGAAGUAAUUGAUUCAUCUGAAAGUUCGAUCUCAGUCAGUCAAUGAAUUACAAACUUUUAUGUGAAUUAUCUUCCAAUGCUUCUCCUCACGGUGGCGUCUUGUCCAUAAAAAAAAAAAAUAGCAAAAUAAUAAAAGAAUGAAAUGGUGACUAUGAAAAGACAAAAACGUAUUCAAAGAGUAAUAAAUUAUGAUUAUAAUUACCAUUAAUUGAUGAACGUUAAUGUAGAUUACCAUUAAUUCAUGAAACGUUAACGGAUAUACCGGAGAGGAGAGGGGAGGGGAAGGGUGGGCGAGAUGAAGAGAUGCCUAAUACGGUGAGAAUUAAAGGAGAGAGAAUUAAUACGUUAUUGGGGAUUAAUAGAAUAGGUAUAGAUAUAGAUUAUCUAUCUAUUAAUCUAAGAAUAAAGGGUUUCUUGCCACGUGGCAAGAAACAUUGUGGAUUCGUUAUGUUUAAUAGAUAUUAUAUUACUAGUGUAGUGAACUGUGCGAUGCGACGAAUAGAUAAUUAGAGAAAUAAUAAAAAAACAGUGACAAAAAGAAGAUGAGACAAUGAUGGAAGAAGCGACGAUAAGGAAUGAAAUUCAUCUUGUAAACGAUAGCCGAAGGAAGUGGAAGAAGAACAAUUCGGCCCAAUGCAGAAUUGCGAUCCGGUUUGGUUCAAGCAAAAAAAAAAAGAAAAACAUAAUUUGAUUCAAGUAAAGAAAGAGAAGAAUAUGUGGAUGACUUGAGUCGGUUCAGGGGAGCCCGCUCUGAAUAAUGAAUGAUUUGGUUUAAGUAAAUAAAAAGAAAAAUUCGGUUUGGUUCAAACAAAGAAAGAGAUAAAUAUAUAGAGAAUUUGAGCCGGUUUGGGGUGGAGCCCACACCCAACAAUGAAGUGAAUAUUGCAAUGUGGCAAAUUUAGGAAGAAUAAUACAUAGAAGUAGAUAGAUAUAGAUAUAGAUAGAGAGAAUUGCAUUGGAAUACUAUUAAUAGUAUCUGUGCUCUUUUGCUAUCGAGUUUUUAACACUUAUAAAUGAAAAAUUAUAGGGUUAGGAUGAUGGUGGUCUCCCAGGAUUUACUUGUGGUCUCCCUAAAGUUGAGAUAGUGGUUGGUUAAAUAGUAUGAUCUAAAAGAUAUAAUUGAUAAAAUUGUAGAUUUAACGAUUAAAAAAUUAAUAGCAAAAAAAGCCAAAUACUAUUAAUAAUAUUCCAGCUCCACUCUAGAUAUAGAUUACUAGUAUAGAACCCGUACUUCACUGCAGAUAAAUAAAUUAUGGUUAGUUGAUAGUAGUUUUUUGGAAGUGUUUUAAUAAAUCAAAAGAUGUUAUUAAAUAGACACUUUUUUAAAAAAUAUAAGCAAAACUAAUGUAAAGACUAACAAACUUUUAGAUGAAAUAAUUACAUAUAAGGGAUAAUUGCAUAUAUACCUCUCAAAACUUUGCAAAUAUCUUAUUUACCCCUAUUUUUUAUUUCUUUCCAAUAUACCCUCUAUAUGUUUCUCCGUUAUUUCAAAAUAUCCAUGCAGUUACCACCCGUUAAGUUAACUUGGGUUAAACGUGAGUUAAAUAUCUACCACAGUUAAAAAAAAUUAAAAUGCCACUUUUGUUCUUAAAUUAAGGACAAAUAAGAAAGGUUCGUGAUAGUAGAAGGGUAUAUUUGAAAAGACCAAAAAGUAAAAUACUUUUUGUGCCCCUAAUUUAAGAACAAAUAAGAAAAGUCACUGAUGGUAGAAGGGUAUAUUUGAAAGGGCAAAAUAGUAAAAAAAAAUCAAAAUACCUUUUUUGCUGUGAUGCUCAAAGGGUAUAUUUGAAAGGGCAAAAAGUCAAAAUAGUUUUUUUGCCCCUAGCCUAAGGCAAAUAAGAAAAGUCGGUAAUAAUGGAAAGAUAAAUUCGAAAAGAUAAAAUAAUAAUUUUACAGAGAUACCGGUUAUUUAUAACAACUUACUAACAGAACUUAAAACGUUAAAAACAUAUUUUCUUCAUUAGCCUUCUAUAGAGGUAUAUAAGAAAGUUUUAAACUUUUCAGUGCUAUGUUAGCAAUUGCCCCAAAAAAUUAUACGGUUUAUUGAAAUACCUAGCUAGCAGCGCCAAUUUCUAAUAGGAAAAAAAAAAGUACAAACACUUUCUAAACUUUAGAGCAUUUGGCAAAUAGAUUCCUCAGUUUUCAAUUUUGACAGCUAGACACCUUAAGCAUUCUAAAAUAAUUCAAUAUAUAACUCCCUCCCUAUAUAUGAAAAUGUCCGUAUGUCAACAAAUUUCUUGCAUAUGAUCUUGUGAAGCUUCAAAAUAUAUUAAAAUCUGCCUUUUUUUAUUCUAAAACUUGAGUAAAGCAAUUAAUUAAAAUGAAAGAUAGAUUUAGUUUGUAUAUUCUUCAAUCCUUAUAUUGUAGUUUUAUCACCAAAAGAGAAGAAAUAGGUUUUUCUUUUGUGUUUUUUAAACCUUGCAAGAAUCACAUCUCUAAAAUAUGCUAUCAAAAUGGCUUUUUAAUUAGUAUUUUUUUUCUUCAGAAAAUUGACCAAUUAAACUAUUUGAUUAUUUUAUAAGAUCUAGUUGCUAAAUUAAAAAUUAGAAGAUCAUUUGACAAUAGUUUAUAGUUUAGGAGUUUUUGUGUAUUUAUCCCUUUCAAUUUUAAUAUGUCUAUACGUAAAAAUGUACGGCGAUACCGUCGUAUAGGCCAUUUUGAAACUUGUUCCCUCCAUCUACAAUCUAUAAUUUAUAAUCUAUAAUCUAUAAUCUAUCUAUAAUCUAUAAUCUAUAACUAUAUAUUAUUUCUCAAUAACUGCACACGUGUCGCGAGAAGGCCGAGGCUCGGGUGAGGGCACGGGGCGUGGGCUGCGGUGGGUGAUGGCGCGGGUGUGGUGCGGGCACGGUGCGGGCCCCGGCUCGGGGGCGGGCUCCGGCGCUGGCGCCACGGGGCGAGGGCUUCGGCCGCUUGGUGCUGGCCUGGCGGGCGCGCGCAAGCCGGCGCGGGGGUGGGUUCGGCGCUUGGCGCCGUGGGCGAGGGGGGCGCGUGAGGGGCCGGGGCGCUGCGCGGGGGUCGUGGCGCGGCGUCCGAGCGGUGUCUCUCGCGGAGCCGAAAAAAAAUCGCGGCUCUUGGUGUGGUGGGUUGCACGGGUCCACAGGCCAAGUGGCCUUGUGGACGCUAAUGAGAAGAGGUCACGGUGGACCUCCUCUCAUUCUCCUCUCUCUCUCUCUCACUCUCUCUCUAUAUAUAUAUAAUUUUAUUAUAUAAUAAUAUAUAUAUAUAAUAAAUUUAUUUAUAAAUAUUAUAUAUUUAUGUAUUAAUAUAGUAUUAUAUAUAUAUAUAUAUUUAUUUAUAAAAUAUAAUUUAUUUAUAUAUAGUAUUUAUUUUAUAUAGAUAUAUUAUUAUAUAAUAAUUUAUUAUAUAUUUACUAUUUAUUUUUAUAAAUGUAAAUAUAUAAAUAAAUGUUAAAUAUUUUAGACUAUUGUAUUAGAUAUAUUUAUUUCAUUAAUACUUGCAAAAAUUUUUUCACUAACUGCUUGGGGGGACUACGAUGCUUAUAAAAAUUAUUUCUUAUUAAUAGGAAAGUAUACUGUAUUUUAUUUAAAAUUAUUUCGUAAUUUGUCCGUAAUAUUUCAUAAUUAUUCUAAAAUUAAUUUUUAUAACUAAUUUUCAAAAUUAAAUUUUAAAAUAACUAACCGCAGCAUGAUUUCUCUUCUCAUUCACUAAUUACUCGGGGACUACAAUACCUACUAAAAUUAUUUCAUUAACUAAUGGGGGACUACUAUGCCUACUAAAAUUUUUUUAUGUACUUAUUGCACCAUUUAAAUUCUGAAAUUAAUUUUUAUAAUUAAUUUUUAAAAUUAAAUUUUAAAAUAACUAUCCGCAGCAUCGGACGGUUCCCUUAACUAGUUUUAUUUUAUUUGGAUUGAGACAGGCCUUCACUAUUGAUUUUUUGAGAAGCGAUAUUUCUGUUCUUGUAAGGGCAUCUGUGUAAAUACAUGCCUUUAGAAGGGCAGUGAGGAAUUUCUCCUUUUAAAAAAAACUUAAAGAGGGUAAUUUCAAAAUACCCUAUAGUUGAGGGGGUCUCCAUACACUUUAACCUAUAAAUGAGGGCUUUUUUUUACAUUUAGCCCCCUUUUAAUUUGUUUUUUUCACAAAUAGCCCUACGAAAUUUAUAAUUACAAAAUUGGCUCAUUCCCGCAAUGCAAGCACCAUACCAGCGGCUAUGAAAGAUUAAGUUAAACACGAUAAAUGAUUCACCGUAUUUAAACACGGUAAACCAUUCAUCGUAUUUGGACGGACUAAACAGUAGCUAACCCAGUAGUGCAAAAAAACUCAAACAACACUGCAGUACAUUUUAGUUUAAACACGGUGAACCAUUCACCGUGUCUAAAUACAGUGAAUGGUUCACCGUGUUUAACUUAUGCCAGCCAGCCGUUAACGUGGCGCUUACUAGGGGUAGAAACGAGCCGAGCUCGAGCGAGCUUAUGUCAGCUCAAAUUCGGCUUGAAAUUAAUUUCGAGCCUAAAUCUAGGCUCAAGCUCGGCUUAUAUAUUAACUCGAGAAUAUGAAAAUUUUCAUGGUUCAGUAAACACGAACAUUCAAAAAUCGGGAACCUAAUUAUCUACACGCCAAUCCUACUACACCCGGGGGAACCUAACUCACCCACCAACCAACUUAUCAUAUUAGAUUGCCCACUUUUACUAGUUUCCGCAUCUAGAUUGCCAUUUUUUAAGUGUUCGUGGUUCACGAGCCAUGAAAAUGUUCGUGGUAUCGGCCUGAUAUAUAUAUAUAUAUAUAUCCCAAAUCCCAAAUCCAUAAAUAUUUAUAUUUUAUAAAUAUUUAUAUUACAUAAAAUUAAUAUAUAUCCGAAAUUAAAUUAAACCCGGUAAUAACAACCGGGUAUUUUAUUUUGGUUGUUCAUGUUGGCACGUUAACUCGGGUUGAGAUUUAAAUGUAUUGUGUGAGAGAGAAACUCUAAAAGUGACAACGUGUAUUAGGAUUUUGUACUAUUGUAAGUUUAAGGGUUUAGGGAUUAAAAAAAGAGGGGGGAGAGAGAGAGAGAGAGAGAGAGAAAGAGAGAGAGAGAGAGAGAGAGUCUGGGAGUGGGUCAGUCCGUCAGUGGGAACGAGUGUAAAGAACGUUAAUAAAACAUAAAACUUGAUAACCUGUACAACGUAGUUUAAUAUUCAUUACAAGAUAUUUUUAAUUUGAUAACUAAUAUAUUACAGCUUUUAAAGUUAACCGAGCAAAUCUCGAGCUCGAGCCGAGCUGAGCUUUAAUCCGAGUGAGUUCGAGCCGAGCUUAAUUAAAAUNAGCUCGAGCGAGCCGAAUAUCGAGCCGAACACGAGUCGAACGCGAGCCGGCUCGCUCGUUUGCCAGCCCUAGCGCUUACGUGGCAGAAAUAUGACUAGUUUUAAAAUUAUAAAUUUUAUAAGGGUAUUUAUAAAAAAAAAAUUGUGAAUGGGCUAAACGCAUAAAAAAUCUUAUAAACCAUUAACCUGGCUCCAAUAAUAAUUCGUUCUAUUUCAUGGACUAGUAUUCUCCUCCACUCCGGUCACCUCUACUAAGUCAAUCCACUAAUUUCCACAAAUUUCUUUAUCACAAUAAAUUAGAUGGUCGGAUCCACUAAUUGUCCACCAAUUUUCACAAACUCCUUUAUCACAAUAAAUUCCUUUAUCACAAAUUCCUUUAUCACAAUAAAUUUGAUGGUUUAGGUGCCUUUAGUUAUCCACUUUGUUUAUUUUUUAUAUUAUUCGAAUGUGCAGUUACAAUUAUAUGGCACUAUAAAAAAAAUCUCAAAAUAAAAAUGCUUUUUAAACGACAUUUAAAAAGUUGUUCUUCAAGCGUCCCUACAAUACAGCAAAUAUCGACGUUUCAAAAACCGUCAUUAUAUGAAUCCUCUAUUGUAUCAAACUAAUUUAUUAGAAUAUAAAUUUAUUAUUAUUUUUAAUUUUUUGACGCUUUAAAUAUUAGGGUUUCAAAAAUUCUUAAAAGUCCUGUCGUUUUAAAACGUCGGAAUAUAUUUUACCGACGCUUAACAUUAGCAUCGGUAUAUACAUGACGACUCUUCAUUUCGCGAUAUUUAACCAACGCUUUUUUUUUUGAGAGAGAGAUAGAUAGCACGCUACCUGCUUCGUUUAUUUUAUUUAGGAAUAAACUUAGCUGAAAAUGUGAAUCAACUAAUAUUCGAAUUUGGGUCUCGGGUACCAACUACUAAGCCCUUUGCCACUAGUUCUAGGAACGGUCAGUCAACGCUUCUAAAUAUCAUGCUGAACUAUCUUAGGACAAGUUUAAGUAUCGUUUAAUAUAAUAAAAAAAAGUCCUCAAAUGGUAAGUCUCUUGCAGUGCAGUCUUAACUAUUCACUUAGUUUAUUUUUUUAUAGUGCACGAAUAUACAGCUACAAAUAAAAGUAGGUGCUUUUAGCUUAUCCACUUAAUUAAAAAAUAAAAUAACUAGAGUUUGAUUUUUUUUUUUUUUUUUUCGUAGUGCAAGAAUAUACAACUGCAAAUAAAAAUAGGUGCUUUUGGCGUAUCCACUUAAUUAAAGUAGGUGCUUUGACAUUUUCAAUUUUAGUGACAUUUUGGAGAAGUAUUGCUCUACUAGGAACACAAGUAUUCUCACACGGUGUGUUACUACCUUACGGCAACUACAGACUUUUUGACUAAGCAUGGAAGUUACUUUGUUAUCUAUCCAGUUGUCAAGAUUAAUAAAUACCAACGAAGAGCUACUGCAGGAUUGCGAUAGCUUUAGCUUUCUCUUGUCUUAGUCCGUAGAAUGGAAGGCUUUUUCCAUGCACUAUUUUUUCUCAUCAUUCUACUACAUGUGAUCUCCACCGCCCGGUGCACUGCCGCCGCCGCCGCCGCCGCCGCCGCCGGGAUCAAACAAGCUGCAUCUGACCGCGCCGCCCUCCUCUCCUUCAAGUCCCUCGUCGACGACGCUCCGUUCGGAGCGCUCUCCUCGUGGAACAACGGCUCUCUUCACUACUGCAGGUGGCGCGGUGUCUCCUGCGGCCGCCGCCAUCCCAACCGGGCCACGGCCCUAGACCUCAAGUCUCUCCGCCUAGCCGGUCUCAUAUCGCCCUCCGUAGCCAACCUCACAUUCAUCCAGACGAUCGACCUGUCCGACAACAUGCUAGACGGGAGCAUCCCGGAGGAGCUAGGAAGCCUACGCCGGCUGCGAUAUCUCAACCUGAGUGUGAAUUCUCUUAGCGGAACGAUCCCGUCUUCGCUCGGCAAUUGCUCUAAUCUUCGACUACUCAACUUGAGAGGUGAUAAUCUCAACGGCGAGAUCCCGCCAACUCUAUCACGUCUUUCCGAUCUUCAAGUGCUUCUCCUGAAUCAAAACAUGUUACAAGGGACAAUCCCAGAUUCACUUGGGAAUCUUUCUUCUCUACUCAUUCUUUCUUUAGACGAUAACAGCCUGUCAGGAGCCAUGCCUCCAUCCUUCGGUAGCCUUCUCUCCUUAGAGAGACUUGAAAUCCUAUUCACUAAUCUCACGGGAACCAUUCCGCCCACUCUCACAAAUCUCUCCGCUAUGAACACACUUGCGCUACGAAGAAACAACCUUCACGGUGAAAUUCCUCACUUUACAAAGCUUCCAUUCCUCUCUUACCUGGACUGCGGUUAUAAUCAUCUCUCUGGGACGAUCCCAAUCUCGCUUGGACGACUUUCAUCUCUCGAAUAUCUCCUUCUCGGGAUGAACAACUGAACAGGGGAAAUACCGUCAUCCCUUUACAAUCUAUCAUCCUUGAACACCUUAGAACUCUUUUAUAAUCACUUGAGGGAACUCUACCCUCCGAUAUCGGAAAUACUCUUCCAAACCUUCAAGUCCUUCGUAUGUAUGGUAAUCAGCUCGGGGGGCAAAUUCCAGCAUCCUUGUCCAAUGCUUCUGAGCUUUACGACCUUGAGCUAUCACUCAAUGCAUUCCAUGGCACGAUACCGCAGAGCCUUGGAGCCCUGCAGAGCCUCUUGCGGCUCACACUGGCCUUCAAUCGACUCGAAGCCAGGAAUCCUAGUGAUUGGAGCUUCAUUACGGCACUCACCAACUGCACCAGUCUCCAAGCAUUGGAUCUAAGAAACAAUCUACUUCAAGGCAUGAUGCCCAAAUCACUGGUCAAUCUUUCCACUAGUCUUUAUAUUUUGGCACUCGGAAACAACCACAUAUCAGGAAUCAUACCUAGAGAGAUUGAGAAUUUCAUCAAUCUAACUGUUCUCGACAUGAGUGUUAACGAUCUUCGAGGCACCAUUCCGGUAGAAAUCAGUCAUCUUUGGCAGUUACAGUACUUGGAUCUGUCCAACAACAUGCUCUCGGGCGAAAUUCCACCCACUUUGGGCAAUCUAACACGAAUGGACCUGCUCUAUCUUGGCAGCAAUGAAUUUGAAGGAGCCAUUCCGCCGACAAUAAGCAACAUGUUAGUGCUAGAGUCGUUAAAUCUAUCAAAUAAUACGCUAAGCGGUAGCAUUCCAAGAGAAGUUUUGAGCCUUUCGUCGCUCGCAAGCUUCCUUGACUUGUCGCAUAAUUUACUGAACGGUUCAUUACCGUUAGAAGUGGGCAACUUGAUCAAUAUUGGGGAGCUUGAUCUCUCAAAUAACAGGCUCUCUGGUGAGACUCCAGACACCAUUGGCAAAUGCGCCAUCUUGGAAAUUCUUCAUUUAGAGAACAACUUAUUUCAAGGGUCCAUUCCUACCUCCAUUGGCAUUUUAAGUGGGCUUAAGGAGCUUGAUCUCUCAAAAAACUUCUACUCGGGCCAAAUACCCGCAUUCCUUGAUGAGCUCCCGGAUCUACAAUACUUGAAUCUUUCCUUCAACAAUUUUGAGGGUCGAGUGCCGAUGAAAGGGGUUUUUAAGAAUGCCAGCGAAGUCUCGCUUAUCGGAAACCCUAAACUCUGCGGUGGAAUACCAGAAUUACACUUGCCCAAAUGCACUUCAGAUGCCUUUGCAGCAAAACAUCACUCUGAUUAUAAACUCAAGGCAAUACUCAUUCCUAUCUGUGGAGCAAUUUUAUGUUUGAUCAUAAUCAUGUGCUUGAUUGGGAGACAACACUUGAUAAAAAACUCACGGAGAAAGCCGCUGUCGAGGUUUUCCUUAAGAAACCGACACGUGAAAGUAUCAUAUGAUGAGCUCUUUAGGGCUACAAAUAGGUUCUCCUCAGAUAAUCUGAUCGGCACGGGAAGUUUUAGGUCGGUUUAUAAAGAGGCCAUGAACUAUGAAAACGGCGACAUCGUUGCAGUGAAAGUGCUUAACCUUUGAUAGCAUGGGGCUCUCAGGAGUUUUAUGUCUGAAUGUGAGGCCCUGAGAAGCAUUCGACAUCGAAAUCUUGUCAAAAUUCUUACAUCGUGCUCUAGUUUGGAUCACUGCAGUAAUGAUUUCAAGGCCUUGGUUUUUGAGUACAUGCCUAAUGGGAGCUUAGAAGAGUGGCUACAUCCAAAUGCACACCGGAAUAGGCCAUUUAGAAGCCUAAGCCUAAUCCAGAGGUUGAACAUAGCUGUCGACGUAGCCUCGGCAUUAGAGUAUCUUCAUCACGGAGGGUCUGUGCCGAUUGUUCACUGUGAUCUUAAGCCCAGCAACGUCCUUCUCGACAGUGAAAUGACGGCGCAUGUGGGUGAUUUCGGGUUAGCAAAGUUUCUGCGGCAACUACCUGACGAAUCAUCUGAGUGUUCAUGUACGAGCACUGUGGGAAUCAAAGGAUCAAUUGGUUAUGUUCCUCCAGGUGAGAAAUAUGCAAUAAAAUGCUAACUUUUUUUUUUCAUGCUUUACAGAAUUUUAGAAAAAAAAUAUAACACAUCUUUAUUUGAUUCCUAACUAUGCUACAUCUGAUAUUUUUUUGCUGCUCACUAUCUAUUGAAGCAAAAACAAGUGAAUAGUAAAGUUUAAUAAAUAAAAUUAGAAAGUCAGUGCACAAAUUGGUAGAAAGGAGAAAAAAAAAAAAAACUCUAGGAAACUGCUUGAUGCUUACUACUAACAACUGAUUAAUUAUGAUCACUAAACAUGCAAGAGCUGGAAUUUUAUUUCUACAUAUCUAAUGCUGCCUUAGAGUCAAUUUAUAAACUGAAAGAUCAAAUUUAGAUUUUGUAACUAUGGCUUGGAAACUGUGGUAGCCAAAUCCAAAUCCAAAUGAAUUCACCUGACAAUCUUGUAUUGUCUGUUUGCAAUUAAAAUAUGUUGUGCAGAGUAUGGAAUGGGCUGUAGACCAUCUAGGCUCGACGAUGCGUACAGCUACGGAAUUCUUCUGCUGGAAAUGUUCACUGGAAUGAGCCCCGUCGAUGACAAGUUCAAAGACGGACUGAGCCUUCGUGGAUAUGUUCGUGCUGCUGCUGCUUCACCUCAACAUGUCACGGACAUCAUAGACAGAAACCUGCAUUCAGCUGAUAAUGUUAAAGGUUAUCGAGAAGAGUGUGUGCGAGAUUGUGUAGUUUCGGUGUUCAACUGCGGUCUCGCGUGCUCGAAUGAAUCGCCAUACGAACGAUGCGACAUGACGAAAGUUGCAAAGGAGCUGAGUGCAGCAAGAGAGAGGCUUCUUAGCUAAAAGCAGUUUUGCUCCCUAUGCUACAGUUCUCACUAGAGGCAAAUGAAUGCAUGUUUGAACAUUCUCUGCUUUUCCUUCCUUGCAUUCUAAAGAAAAACCUUGUGUAAUGAAUAUGCCUAGUCCUUAUGGUUUUGAUCAUUCCUUUCUAGAAUGAAUAUAACCAAAAGGAUAUAAGCACUUCAAAUUUUGCAUCUGUAUACAUUAUUAAUAGAUUCAAAUUCCUAAUUUCUCGCUCAAGUUAAUAAAUGAAGCCUAAUAUAACCCGUCAUUGCCAAAUCUGUGUUGAAUACACUUUUCAACAGAAAGCUCGAAGCCUAUUUAGAAGGGGUAUAUGUACAAAUUUUGGAUUUUAAGCACGAACUACAGAACGGUCAUAAAUGGUAUGACAGAAGGAGAAUAUUGACCAAGAAAAAGAGGCAUUUACAUUCAAACAAAGUAUCAAAUACAAAAGCAAGAAUCCAAUGAAAGGGACCACGAACACCGAAAACACAACCAUCACCCGAAGUAUAUAUUUGACAUUCGAAAAAGAACACCAGAUACAUACUUAUACCACGCAUUCUAAAUUUUGUUUACUUUAGAGGUGCAAGCAAAUCGCUUUUUCUUUCUCAAAAUAGGAUCACUGGCCAACUGCUCGGUUAUGGAAAAACUUCUUGAUCCAAACUUGCCAACCAAGUAUCUGAAAGAUAAUCAGACAUAAAUUUUGGAAGUAACGAGAAAGAGUCCCUUGGCGAUACUAUAGUAUAGACUUCUUUACUUUGGCUGUAGUUUCUGCAGAAGUGCUAUCUCAGUUGAUCUUUUUGAAGGAGCACUAACAGCUUUUCCAGUAAAUCAUCCUAAUAUAUUUUUACUAUUGCAGAAGUGGAAGCUUCAAAUUGGACCCACAAAUUUUGCAGCCUAGAAGCUCAUUAUUGCUAUCUCCAAUAACAAGCUUCAGGGUCUGACUGCUGUUUCACGGGUUAGAGAAGCAGAGCCAAAGCCAGACCAAAUAAACACAAGAUAAGGCAUGAAGAACUACAUUAACAAUAGGGGAAAAUGAUUUGUGCCAAUAUAUGUGUAUGUUGUUACAUUUUAUUAUUAAUUAGUGAAGUUACAACUUCACUUGCAUUUAAUUAAACAUUUUAAACCUAGACUUUUGCACCUACAUCAAAUGAGAUUAACGUUAGUGGCAUUUACUUUGCAAAGCUUACACUAAAUAUCUUGUAACCUAUGGGUUUUAAACACUAGCAACAUAUAUUUUCAUCUCUCAUAACGUAUAGUCCUAAGGUGCUAUAAAUAGAUGGCUUGUUUUAUGCACUUAAACAGGCCAUAACAAAACAUAAUAACCAAAACUACAAUUCUACUUGAGAGAGAGAAGGUCAAAGAAAGGUGUUUCUUUUGGUGGAGCUUUGGGCUCAUCUACUUGUGCAGAGUUGGUGAAGCCACAUGACGAGGGUCGAGCCGUUGUAUCUUGGAGGGGACAAGUCGGUGCUCUGCUGCAUCGGUUCAAAGGCUUUGCCAACCGUAGAGGGCUUGAAUCUCCUUAAAGAGAGCGAGAUAUCCGUGCCUCGGCUUGAUCGACUCGUUAACAUUUUUUAAAUUACUUUGUAGCUAACCUCUAUUUUUUGAAUAUUUACACCAACAGUGUAGAACCAAAUAAAAUAGCAUAGUAUCUUUUUUGCAUUUUGAGCAUAUGCAAUUAGUAUGAAACACUCAACUAGUAUAAAAUUCUACGACCAACUACAAGAGAGUUCUUGUAUAAGAAUUGUUCGUAUAUGUAGAAGAAAAUUUAUGUGAAAACUUUAUCAAAGAUAUAUAAUUAACCAGUACAUAAACAUAGCUGAUCAUGGAUGAGUUUGCUAAGAGAAGUUUUUGAACCUUAUAGGAAUGGUGGGACUGAUUGACCGUACACGAAAUCAUGAGAAUAUGACUGCCAUAAUAACUACAUAAUUGGUAGAAAGACCGAAAGAUAGAUGAAUUAUCAAACCUCAAAUCAGUAAUUGCAUGAAUACCUCUCUAUACAUGGAAGAUUAAAUCGACAACAGAAGCAGCAACGAACGGAAGUAUGCCACAAAGAUGAUGCAUUUUAAUUUCCAAGUUCGCGGCGAGAGAAAUGGAGGACCAGUCAUCAUCAACCCUGGGGAAUAUAUUUCGUCAAGAAGCAUGAUAGUUUACUGACAAAUUUUUUCUUUAAUGCUUCAAAUUUUGACUGAAGCAGUUGCAAUUAGACUGUCGACUUCCUCUUCAUACUGUUCAUAGACAAUGAAGAUGAUGAUGAACAUGCAUGUCAACCCUGCAAUAUAAGCAAGAACUAAUUAUUACAGGAAAAGGUACAAGUAUGGAGAUAAGAAAAAUAAUGUUUGGAUGAAAAUUGGAUUAUUUCCGGGGAUAAGAAAAUAGCAUUUGGAUAGAUAAUAUGGAAUAAGAAAAAUAGCUGGUAAUUUUAUAUAGAAAAUGAUGGUGUUGGUGUGAAUAGUUAUACCCUGUUAUUAUAGGUAACAGAGAACUACUGUUCUCGGAUAAAAAAUUAGCGUUUGGUAUAAAGGGGAUAAGGGGUUAUCUUUAUCCCCCUAUCCCCUAUCCAAACGGUCUGUUUAUCCCACCUUUUUUUGGUUUUUAGUAAUUUUUUUAAAAAAUGACAAGAUUUUAGGGAAAAGAUAUCUUUUAGAUUAAGUCAAAGUGGUGGGCUUGUAACACAAAAGUGGGUUGAAUGUAUAGUGACACAUACAUAUACGUAGGGAGGUAAUGUGGGCCGUGCUGGGCUGGUACGGCCCAGAUUUUCCGGGCAUUCUGGGCCAAGGAUCGGCCCGGGCCGUGCCGGGCCGUGGCAGGCAGUUUAGGUAGAGCAGUAGAUCCGGCCCGGCCCCUGUCCUGUCCAGCACAGGCCGUGUAGGGCCGGGCCGGGCUUCGUGCCAGCCCAGAUUUUUUCAAAAAUAUAUAUUCAUCCAGUUUCUUUUUUUUAAGAAAUUAUUUUUCAGAAAAAGAGAUAGUUUUUUUUAAAUUAUAAAUUUGGCUUAUAACUUUUACUUUACACAAUUAUACCCAACUUUUUGAAAACUAUUUUAUUAAAUAUUUUUAAUAAUUUUUUAUUAUUUGAAGAGAAAUUUAUCUUUAAAAAAAUAAUUACAAAAAAUAUAUAAAGUUUGUAUUAAUCAUAUUACAUAAAGUUUGUAUUUUUUUAUUUUUUUGUAGUAAAGAUAUUAAAAUUUUUAAAAUCGUUUUAUAAAGUUUGUAUUAAUCAUAUUACAUAAAGUUUGUAUUUUUUUAUUUUUUUGUAAAAAAGAGUUUAAAUAUAACCUUUUGACUUAUAGUUUUUAAUUUACAUAAUAAUACCCAGCCUUUAUAAAACGAUUUUAAAAAUUUUAAUAUCUUUACAUAAUGUUUAAAUAUCUUUUUUAAUUUUUUAAUCCAUUUUUUUAAAAAAAUAGUAAUAGAAUAUUGUUUCAUAGAAUUUUUUUUUUUUUUUUCUCACUGCCCUUCUUCUAAAGGCAUGUAUUUAUGCUUCGUUUGGGAUUGCGCAGAGAUUGCGUUAUGUGCGGUGAGAAAGUACGUUGGAAAAAUAUCCUGUUUGUUUCCGUACAUAAUAUUGCGUUCCGCAUAUCACGAUGAAUUGAUUACGAUAUAUUUUCUACAGUCCUACCGGAGAACGCAGAAGCAUAUCCCUACCCUAUAUGCUUUUUCUCCAACUCCAUUUUAUCUAAUAGCGUUUAAUAGGCCGCAAUACCAAACUAAGACUUAGACAGAUGCCCUUAUGAGAACAGAAAUAUCACUUUUUAAAAACUCAAUAGCCUAUAUACCCCUCAUACGGAACAAAUGUCAAAAUGGCCUAUAUGGUGGAAUCUCCAUACAUUUUUACGUAUAAACGUAUUAAAAUUGGAAGAGAAAAAUGCAUAAAAACUUUAAACUAUUGUCAAAUGACCCUCUAAUUUUUAAUUUAGCAACUAGAUCAGUAGAUCUUCUAAAAUAAUCAAAUAGUUUAGUCACUCAAUUAUCUCAAGAAAAGCUACUAAUUAAAAAGCCAUUUUGGCAGCAUAUUUUACAGAUAUGAUCUUGCAAAGUUUCAAAACACAAAAGAAAAACCUAUUUCUUCUCCUUUGGUGAUAAAACUAAAAUACAACAAUUGAAGAAUAUACAAACAAAAUCCAUCCUUCACUUUAAUUAAUUGCUUUUCUCGAGUGUUAGAAUAAAAAAGGUAGAUUUUAAUAUAUUUUGAAGCUUCACACGAUCACAUGCAAGAAAUUUGUUGAAAACAGACAUUUAAUUAGUAACUUUCGUAUAUAGGAAGGGAGGCAUUGAAUUAUUUUAUAAUGUUUAAGAUAUCUAGUAGUCAAAAUGCCAAAGCUCCUAGGGCCCCAUUUGGUUCGGGGGAUAAGCGGGGAUAACGAAAGUUAUCCCCGCUAUUCCGCCAAACAGGAUCAUUUUUUACCCGGAUAUUUUAUCCCGGUCAAAGCUUGCUAUUUCCGGUUACCCAGAAUAGCAAGCUUUUUACUAUUCCACCAUUUUGGUGGAAUAGUGCUAUUCUCAUGCUUAAUUUCAAACUUAAUUAAAAUUAUAAAAUAAAUUAAAACUAAAGUUUAGAAAGUGUUUGUACUUUUUUUUUUCCCUACAAGAAAUGAUUGCUGCUAGCUAUUUCAAUAAACCAUAUAAUUUUUAGGGGCAAUUGCUAACUAUUAUCUCGAUAAAAUUACUAUUUUAUCCUUUCAAAGUUUUCCUUCUAACGUUACCAACUUGUCUUAUUUGCCUUUGGAUAGAGGCAAAAAACUAUUUUGACUUUUUUUUCCUUUCAAACAUAUCCUUCUAUUGUCAUCAGCAAAAGAGCUACUUUGACCUUUUAAUUCUGAUAGAAAUUUAAUUCAAGAUGACUUAACGGAAACUAACAGAAAUGUAUUUUUGAAUAAUAAAGAAAUAUACAAAAGAUAUAUUUAAAACCAAAAAAGUAGGAAUAUAUAACAUAUUUCAGAAGUUUUAGAGGGUAUAUAGAUAAUUAUUCCUAAUUUUUAGAUAAAAGAAAAGGUGUGGUGCGAUGAGUUCUGCCGCUUCUUUUAUUUUUUUUAGAAAUAAAUUUAGCUAAAAAUAUGAAAUAAGUAGGCUCCUAAUUUGGGACCUCGAAAAUAACACCCUCAAUUAUACUUAUAUUUUUUGGGAUUCAAAGCUCCUCCAUGUCUUAUUUUUUUAUUUGAGUUUUCAUACUAAGCUAAACUAAAAAUUUUAUCAAAUUUAAUAACUGUUUUAUUUAUUAACCACCAAAUCCGUAGGUGAAACACUUUGUCCCACAUAAUAUUUAGCUCUCACACUAUAUUUCCAGCUGGUAUUCGACUUUGAUAUCAAUUAUAACGACCCAAUCCGCCAGCAAUCAAUUAUAGCAACCCGACCCGUGCCAAAACCACCGGCCUAAAAUAUUUAAGCCUAGUUAUUAUUAUUAGCGUGUAGGUCUCAUAUAUUCUAAUCAGAAUCAGUUUCUCACCGGAUGUGGGACUAUUGGGCGUUACAAAGAUUACUUAAUUUUAAUAAAAGUGGAAGGGUCUAAAUCCAAAAUAAUAAAAAUUGAGGAAGCAAUUUCAGAAUUGCUUGUAGUUGAGUGUGUUAAUGUACUUUCAACCCACUUUGAGUUACAAGCCCACAACUUUUGAGUUAAUCUAAAAGAUAUCUUUUCCCUACAAUCUCGUCAUUUUUUUUUUUAAAUUGCUAAAAACCCAAAAAAAAGGUGGGAUAAACUCAAAGACCAUCGAGUAUGAUCUAUUUCCGAUUUUAAUUCACGCAGUCGAUUGCUUCUAUAUGUAUUCCCAAGUUGCUGUUCCGUUUCUCACUCGCAACAUUGAUUGGAGUUUGUAAGGUUUUGACCUAAAAAUCUUGUUAAUUAAUUUCCAGAUAAUAGUGCUCUGUUUUAUCUUUUUCAACUUUCUCACCGCAUCUUUUAUAUUGCAGGGUUGACAUGCAUGUUCAUCAUCUUCACUGUCUAUGAACAGUGUGAAGAGGAAGUCGACAGUCUAAUUGCAACAGCUUCAGUCAGAAUUGAAGCAAUAAAGAAAAAAUUUGUCAGUAAACUAUUAUGCUUCUUGACGAAAUAUAUUCCCCAGAGUUGAUGAUGACUGAUCCACCAUUUCUCUCACUGCGAACUUGGAAAUUAAAAUGCGUCAUCUUUGUGACAUACCUUCUUUCGUUGCGGCUUCUGUUGUCGAUUCAAUCUUCCAUGUAUGGAGAGGUAUUCAUGCAAUUACUGAUUUGAGGUUUGAUAAUUCAGCUAUCUUUCGAUCUUUCUACUAAUUAUGUAGUUAUUGUGGUAGUCUCACUCUCAUGAUUUCAUGUAAUUACAAGAAUAAAUAACAUUGUGAUAUGUUCUGCCAUUCUCAUGCAUAUAUUUCAACAUCAGUAGCAAAUUCAUCCAUCAGCUAUGUUUUUGUACUGGUUAAUUAUAUAUCUUUGAUAAAGUUUUCACAUAAAUUUUCUUCUGCAUAUACGAACAAUUCUUAUACAAGAACUCACUUGUAGUUGGUAUGAGAAUUUUAUACUAAUUGAGUAUUUCAUACUAAUUGCAUAUGGUCAAAAUGAAAAAAAGAUACUAUGCUAUUUUAUUUGGUUCUACACAUAUAUUGGCACAAAUCAUUUUCCCCUAUUGUUAAUGUAGUUCUUCAUGCCUUAUCUUGUGUUUAUUUGGUCUGGCUUUGGCUCUGCUUCUCUAACCCCUGAAACAGCAGUCAGACCCUCAAGCUUGCUAUUGGAGAUAGCUAUAAUGAGCUUCUAGGCUGCAAAAUUUGUGGGUCCAAUUUGAAGCUUCCGCUUCUGCUAUAGUAAAAAUAUAUUAGGAUGAUUUACUCGAAAAGUUGUUAGUGCUCCUUCAAAAAGAUCAACUAAGAUAGCACUUCUGCGGAAACUACAACCGAAGCAAAAAGGUCUAUACUAUAGUAUCGCCAAGGGACUCUUUCUCAUGACUUCCAAAAUUUAUGUUUGAUUACCUUUCAGAUACUUGGUUGACAAAUUUGGAUCAAGAAGUUUUUCCAUAACCGAGCAGUUGGCCGAUGAUCCUAUUUUGAGAAAGAAAAAGCGAUUUGCUUGCACCUCAAAAGUAAACAAAAGUUAGAGUGCGUGGUAUAGGUAUGUAUUUGGUGUUCUUUUUCGAAUGUCAAAUACUUUGGGUGAUGGUUGUGUUUUUCGGUGUUUGUGGUUCCUUGCAUUGGAUUCUUGCUUUUGUAUGUGAUGCUUUGUUUGAAUGUAAAUGGCUCUUUUUCUUGGUCAAUAUUCUCCUUCUGUCAUACCAUUUAUGAUCUUUCUGUAGUUUGCGCUUAAAAUCCAGAAUUUGUACAUAUACCCUUCUAAAUAGGCUUGGAGCUUUCUGUUGAAAAGUGUAUGCAACGCAGAUUUGGCAAUGUCGGGUUAUAUUACGCUUCAUUAUUUAACUUGAGCCAGAAAUUAGGAAUUUGAAGCUAUUAAUGUAUACAGAUGCAAAAUUUGAAGUGCGUAUCUCCUUUCGGAUGUACUCAUUUUAGAAAGGAGUGAUCAAAACCAUAAGGACUAGGCAUUUUUAUUACACAAGGUUUUUAUUUAAUGCAAAUAAGGAAAAGCAGAGGAUGUUCAAACAUACAUUCAUUUGCCUCUAGUAAGAACUGUAGCAUAGGGAGCAAAACUGCUUUUAGCUAAGAAGCCUCUCUCUUGCUGCACUCAGCUCCUUUGAGACUUUCGUCAUGUCGCAUCGUUCGUACGGCGAUUCGUUCGAACAUGAGAGACCGCAGUCAAACACUGAAACUAUGCAAUCUCGCACACACUCUUCUCGAUAAGCUAUAUCAUUAUCAGCUGAGUGCAGGUUUCUGUCUAUGAUGUCCAUGAGAUGUUCAGGAGAACCAGCAGCAGCACGAACAUAUCCACGAAGGCUCAGUCCAUCUUUGAACUUGUCGUCGACGGGGCUCAUUCCAGUGAACAUUUCUAGCAGAAGAAUUCCGUAGCUGUAUACAUCGCCGAGCCUAGAUGGUUUACAGCCCAUUCCAUACUCUGCACAACAUUAGUUAAUUGGAAAUAGAAGAUACAAGAUUCUCAAGUGAAUUCAUUUGGAUUUGGAUUUGGCUCCUACUGCUUCCGAGCCAUAGUUACAAAAACAAAAUUUGAUCUUUUAGAUUAUUUAUAUUGAUUCAAAAAUAGCAUUAGAUAUGUAGAAAUGAAGUUCCAGCUCUUGCGAGUUUACUGAUUAUAAUUAAUCAGUGGUUAGUAGUAAGCAUCAAGCAGUUUAUUCUAACUCCAGUAUGUCUGUUUUUGUAGCUAAUAUGUAGUAUCCUUUUUGUUUCCUACAAUAUUUUUUUUUCCCCUUUUCUAUAACUUUUACACAAUCUCUAAUUUUGUUUAUUAAACUUGUGCUAUUCACUUGAUUUUGCUUCAAAAGAUAGUGAGCAGCAAAAAGUAUUAGAUAUAGUGUAGUUAGGAAUCAAAUAGAGAUGUAUUAUAUUUUGUUUUUUUUUCUGAAAUGCUGUAAAGCAUGAAUAAAGUUAGCAUUUUAUUGCAUAUUUCUCACCUGGAGGAACAUAACCAAUAGAUCCUUUGAUUCCCACAGUGCUAGUAGAUGAACGCUCUGAUGAUUCGUCAGGCGGCUGCCGCAGAAACUUUGCUAACCCGAAAUCGCCCACGUGCGCCGUUAUUUCAUUGUCGAGAAGGACGUUGCUGGGCUUAAGAUCACAGUGAACAAUCGGCACGGACCCUCGGUGAUGAAGAUACUCUAAUGCCGAAGCUACGUCGAUGGCUAUGUUCAACCUCUGGAUUAGGCUUAGACUUCUGAAUGGUCUAUUCCCGCGUGCAUUUGGAUGUAGCCACUCUUCUAAGCUCCCAUUAGGCAUGUACUCAAAAACCAAGGCCUUGAAAUCGUUACCGCGGUGAUCCAAACUAGAGCACGAUGUAAGAAUUUUGACAAGAUUUCGGUGUCGAAUGCUUCUCAGGGCCUCACAUUCAGACAUAAAACUUCGGAAAGCCCCAUGCUGUUGAAGGUUAAGCACUUUCACCGCAACGAUGUCAGCGUUUUCAUAGUUCAUAGCGGCUUUAUAAACCGACCCAAAACUUCCCGUGCCGAUCAGAUUAUUUGAGGAGAACCCAUUUGUAGCCCUGAAGAGCUCAUCGUAAGAUACUUUCAUGUGUCGGUUUCUUAAGGAAAACCUCGACAACGGCUUUCUCUGUGAGUUUUUUAUCAAGUGAUGUAUCCCAAGCAAGCACAUGAUUAUAAUCAAACAUAAAAUUGCUCCACAGAUAGGAAUGAGUAUUACCUUGAGUUUAUAAUCAGAGUGAUGUUUUGCUGCAAAGGCAUUUGAAGUGCAUUUCGGUAAGUGUAAUUCUGGAAUUCCGCCGCAGAGUUUACUAUUUCCGAUAAGCGAGACUUCGCUCGCAUUCUUAAAGACCCCUUUCAUCGGCACUCGACCCUCAAAACUGUUGAAGGAGAGAUUCAAGUUUCGUAGAUCUGGGAGCUCAUCAAGAAAUGCGGGUAUUUGGCCCGAGUAGAAGUUUUUUGAGAGAUCAAGCUCCUUAAGCCCUCUUAAAUUGCUAAUGGAGGAAGGAAUGGACCCUCGAAAUAAGUUAUUCUCUAAAUGAAGAAUUUCCAAGAUGGUGCAUUUGCCGAUGGCAUUUGGAAUCUCACCAGAGAGCCUAUUAUUUGAGAGAUCAAGCUCCCUGACAUUUAUCAAGUUGCCCACUUCUGAAGGUAAUGAAUCGUUCAGUAAAUUAUACGACAAGUCGAGGAAGUUUGCGAGCGAUGAAAUGCUCAAAACUUCUUUUGGAAUGCUUCCACUUAGCCUAUUAUUCGAUAGAUUUAACAACUCCAGCAUUAACAUGCUGCUUAAUGUCGGCGGAAUGGCUCCUUCAAAUUCAUUGCUGCUGAGAAACAGCUUGUCCAUUCGUAUUAGGUUGCCCAAAGUGAGAGGAAUUUCACCUGAGAGCAUGUUGUUCGACAGAUCCAAGUACUGUAAUUGCCAAAGAUGACUGAUUUCUAUGGGAAUGGUGCCUUGAAAAUCGUUAAUGCUCAUAUCAAGAUGAGUUAGAUUGAUGAGCUUCUCAAUCUCAGCAGGUAAAAUUCCUGAUAUUUGGUUGUUAUUGAGUGCCAAAUAAUUAAGACUAGUGGAAAGAUUGCCUAUUGAUUUGGGGAUCGUGCCUUGAAGUAGAUUGUCUCCUAGAUCCAACCCUUGGAGACUGGUGCAGUUGGUCAGUGCUGUAAUGAAGCUCCAAUCACUAGGCUUUCUGGCUUUGAGUCGAUUGCCAGGCAGUUCAAGCCACAAAAGACUCUGCAAGGCUCCAAGGCUCGGCGGUAUCGUGCCGUGGAAUGCAUUUAUCCCUAGCUCAAGGUCGUUGAGCUCAGAAGCAUUGGACAAGGAUGCCGGAAUUUGCCCCCUGAGCUGAUUAUAAUUCAUAAGAAAGACUUGAAGGUUCGGAAGAACAUUUCCGAUAUCGGAGGGUAGAGUUCCCUCGAGUUCAUUAUAAGAGAGUUCUAUGUCCUUCAGGGAUGAUAGAUUGUAAAGGGAUGAUGGUAUCUCUCCUGUUAAGUAGUUCCCAUUGAGAAAGAGAUAUUCGAGAGAUGAAAGUCGUCCAAACGAGAUUGGGAUCGACCCGGCGAGAUAAUUAAGAGAGCAGUCCAGAUAAGAGACGAACGGAAGUUCUGCAAAGUGAGGAAUUUCACCAUGUAGGUUGUUUCCUUGUAGUAAAAGCUGGCUCAAAAAGGAGAGGUUCGUAAGAGUUGACGGAAUGGUUCCUGUGAGACUAGUGAAUUGGAUUUCAAGUAUGUUCAAGGAGAGAAGGCUACCUAAGGAUGGAGGCAUGGCUCCUGACAAGUUAUUGUUAUCUAAAGCAAGAACUAGUAGGGAGGAGAGGUUGCCGAGUGAAUCUGGGAUGGACCCAGUAAAGCUAUUGAAUUUUAGAUCAAGGUAUUGAAGCUGAGCAAGAUUGCCCAAAGUAGCAGGGAUGGCUCCUGUAAGAUUAUUGUAGCCUAGAGUUAACCAUGUUAACUUUUGGAGAUAGCCAAGCUCUGGUGGAAUUCCCUCUAUGAGAAAGUUACUCCUCAGAUCGAAAACCUGAAGCUCUUUACACUGAGUUAGAUUGGAAGGGAUUGUUCCUUGUAACAUGUUCCACCUCAGGAAAAGCUUUCUAAGACUGGAAAGAUGCGAUAGAGUUCGCGGGAUCUCACCGUUGAGCUUAUUAUGUCUCAAGUUGAGCAGUUGAAGAUUAGAGCAAUUGCCGAGCGAAGACGGGAUCGUUCCGCGAAGAGAAUUCACACUCAGAUUGAGAUAUCGCAGCCUGCGUAGGCUUCCUAACUCCUCGGGGAUGCUCCCCUCUAGUUUGUUGUCAGACAGGUCGAUCCUCUGGAGGAAUGUGAGGUUGGCUAUGGAGGGCGUUAUGAAACCGGCCAGGCCGAGAGACAUGAGGUUGAGGGCCGUCACCCGGUCGGGAUGGCGGCGGCCGCAAGAGACACCGCGCCACCUGCAGUGGUGGAGAGAGCCGUUGUUCCACGAGGAGAGUGCUCCAAACGGAUCGUCGUCGACGAGGGACUUGAAGGAGAGGAGGGCGGCGCGGUCGGAUGCGGCUUGUUUGAUCCCGGCGGCAGCGGCGCACCAGGCGUUGGAGGUCACAUACAGCAGAAUGAUGAGAAAAAAUAGUGCACGGAAGCUUUCCAUUCUAUGAACUAAGACAAGAGAAUGCUAAACCUAUAGCAAUCCUGCAGUUGCUCUUCGUUGGUAUUUAUUAAUCUUGGUAACUGGAUACAAAACAAACUAACGACCAAGCUUAGUCAAAAAGCCUAUAGUUGCCGUAAGGUAGUAAUACAAUGGCGUGUGGAUACUUUUGUACUAGUGCUUUAAUACUUCCGCAAAAUGUCACUAAGAGUGCGUUUGGUUCAGGUUAUCCUGACAGGAUUACAAGCAAUUCUGUCAGGAUUGUUAUAUUUAGUUUAUCGGAUAUGUACUCUGUUCGGUAUUGUAGCAUUACAAAAAAUGUAUAAUAUAUUACACCAAAAAUAUUACCGAAGGGGUGUGUAUUUUGGAUUACUGAAGGCGGCUAAUAUUUUUGCCGCCGCCGCCGUCCGCUCCCACAGCAUGAAGAGGAAGAGGAAGAUGAAGAGGGCAAGGGCAAAAUAGUCGUUUCACAGUUCUACUGUUAAAAAAUUAACAGUUCUCUAACAGAUCCAAAUUACGUAUUUGAAUAUAUUAUGGUUUUUGCAGGAAUAACUUAUAAAAAUUGAAAUUUACAGAAAUAUACUUGCUAUUCACCAUAUUUGUAGGGACCUGUAUGAAAUUAAUCCUAAUUUAUUGUGAAAUUUGUGGAAAUUGGUGUGGAUUGACUUAGUAGGGGUGAGUCGGGUGACUGAAGUAAACGAUAAGAGUAGUCGACGCAAUAGAACAAUUAUUGAAGGUAAUUUAUUUAUAGGUAAAAAGUGUAUGGAGACCCCCUCAACUAUACGUUUUUCUGAAAGAGCCCUCAUAACUUUUUUUUUACCCUUUUUCAAAAAGGAAAUUUCCUCACUUCCCUUCUAAAGGCAUGUAUUUACACACAUGCCCUUAUAAGGAAAAAAAAUAUCACUUUUUAACAAAAAAAAAUCAAUAGUAAAGAGGUUUCUCAGUCCAAAUAAAAGAAAAAUGGAGGGAACAAAUUUCAGAAUGGCCUAUACGACGGGAUCUCCAUACAUUUUUACCUAUGGAGGUAUUAAACUUGGAAGGGAUAAAUGCAUAAAAACUACUAAACUUUAAAAUAUUGUCAAAUGACCCUCUAAUUUAAUUUAGCAACUAGAUCUUCUAAAAUAAUCAAAUAGUUUAAUUGAUCAACUUUCUCAAGAAAAGCCAUUUUGGUAGCACAUUUUGCAGAUCUAAUCUUGCAAAUUUUCAAAAACACACAAAAAAAACUAUUUCUUCUCUUUUCGUGAUAAAAUUAAAAUACGAAGAUUGAAGAAUAUACAAACUAAAUCCAUCCUUCAUUUCAAUUUAUUGCUUUUCCCAAUUCAGCAUUAGAAUAAAAAAACGCAGAUUUUAAUACAAUUUGAAGCUUCACCAGAUCACAUGCAAGAAAUUUGUUGAAAAUGGGCAUUUAAUUAGUAACUUUCAAAUAUAGGAAGGGAGUCAUUGAAUUAUUUAAUAAUGUUUAAGGUGUGUAAUUGUCAAAAUUAAAAACUCAUGAAUCUAUUUGCCAAAGCUCAAAAGUUUAGAAAGUGUUUGUACUUUUUUAAAUAUUAGAAAUGAGUGCUGCUAGGUAUUUUAAUAAACCAUAUAAUUUUUAAGGGCAAUUGCUAAUAUAAAUUUGAAAAGUUUCAGAGUUUCUUAUUUACUCCUUUAGAAGGCUAAAAUAAAAAAUAUUCUUUUAAUGUUUCAAGUUUUUUCAAAUAUAUCUCUCAAGUUAAAUUCUGAUAGUGAGCUGUCAGUAUAACUGUUAUUUCUAUAAAAUUAUCAUUUUAUUCUUUCAAAUUUAUCCUUGUACCAUCAUCAACUUUCAAGUUGCUGGGCUAGGGUCCAAAAACUUUGGCCCGGCACAGCACGGCCUGACUUUGGGGCCGGGCCGUGCCGGGCUUGUCUCCGGCUGGUUUCGGCACGGGAAAUGUGGGCCGUACCGGCCCGGCACGGCCCACAUUACACCCCUACGUACAGGGGUGUAAACAAGCCGAACACGAGCGAGCUGAGGUCAGCUUGUGUUCAGCUCAUGUUCGGCUUUUUUAUUAAACGAGCUGAACACGAGCCGGCUCGUUAAAGUAAUCUUGAGCCGAAAAUUCAUCUCGUAUUCGGCUCGUUUAUUAACGAGGCGAACACGAGCUAGCUCACGAGCUGGCAAACGAAUAUAAAUUAAAAAAAAUUAAAUUUAAAUAUAUAAAAAUAAAUUUAUAAAAUUUUAUCAUUAGACUUUGAUCUAAUAGUUGAAACUUUACAUAUAAAAUGAGUUUUUUAUAAUUAAGCUUGCAUUUAUAUUUUUAUUUUGCUAAAAAUUAAUAAUAAAAAAAUAUAUUAUAUAUAAUUAUUUAUUUAUAUAUAAAAAUAUAAAUUAUAUAAAUAUUAAAUAUAUAUAUUCGAGCUGUUAUCGAGCCGAACAUGAGCGAGCUUAUCUCAGCUCGUGUUCGGCUCAUUUAUUAAACUAGCUCGCGAACAGCGAGCUAGAUUGCCACCCCUACCUACGUAUACACCCCUAAAAGGGAUGCAUGUUAUGGGCGACACAUUCUAGAGUCGGAUGGUUUGUAUUUAUGGCAUUGAUGCGACAAGUAGAAUACGUGUUUGUCUAUCAUACACUCCUAAAACCGAGUAUAUGUGUAGCAUCACUUAUAAAUUAAUUAACAUCCAAUAAUUCGUCCUAUUUCAUGGACUAGUCUCCUCCGUUACUCGGUCAUCUCUACUAAGUCAAUCCACUAAUUUCUUUAUUACAAUAAAUUAGGUGGUUGUAUCCACUAAUUGUCCAUCAAUUUUCACAAAUUUCUUUAUCACAAUAAAUUAGAUUAUUGUAUGAUGCCGUGCAUGAAUAUGCGUUAGUAAGUGCAUUUAGUUAUCCACUUUGUUCAUUUUUUAUAAUGCAUGAGCGAAUGUGCGGCUGCAAUUAGACGACACUGUAAAAUAAUAUGAAGAUUAUUUUUAAAUAACAUUUGAGUAGACGUCUCCCAACGUCCCUAUAAUAUAGAAUGUAUUGACGUUUCAAAAAAUGCCGUUAUUAUAUCAAACUAAUUUAUUAGAUGAUAAACUUUAAUUAUUAAUUUUAACUUUUUUAUGCUUUAAAGCAAUUUGAUUUCAAAAAAUUCUUAAAAAUUCUGAUACUUUAAGACGUACAUAGUAAUAUUUUAACCAACGCUUUUAAAUAUCAGGCGAUUUUAAAUAGGAUGAUUUUAUGCAUUGUUAAAUAUAAAAAAAAUUGUUCUUAAAUAUUAAUUUUCUUAGUGUGUGGUCUUAGUUAUCUAUUUUGUUUAUUUUAUUUUUACAGUGCAUGAACAUACAGAGCUACAAGUAAGACUAGAUGCAUUUAGCUAUAUAUUUAGGUAAAAUAUAAAAUAAUUGGUUUUCGAACUUAGAAACUCGAUACCAAUUAUUAAGGUUUUCGCCAAUUGCCGUUAGUGACAUUUUGGGGAAGCAUUGUGGUACUAAGGUACAUGAGUAUUCUCACACCGUGGCAUUAGUUGGCAGUAAGUUUGUUAUGUAUCCAGUUGCCAAGUUUAAAUACCGACCAAGAGCUACUGCAGGAUUGCUAUAGCUUUAGCUUUCUUGUCUUAGUUCGUAGAAUGGAAGGCUUUUUCCAUGCACUAUUUUUUCUCAUCAUUCUACUACAUGUGAUCUCCACCGCUCGGCGCGCCGCCACCGCCGCUGCUGGGAUCAAACAAGCUGCAGCAGACCGUGCCGCCCUCCUCUCCUUCAAGUCCCUUGUCGACGACGAUCCGUUCAGAGCGCUCUCCUCCUGGAACAACGGCUCUCUCCACUACUGCAGGUGGCGCGGUGUCUCUUGUGGCCGCCGCCAUCCCGACCGGGUCACGGCCCUCAACCUCACGUCUCUCGACCUAGCCGGUUUCGUAUCGCCCUCCGUGGCCAACCUUACAUUCCUCCGGAGGAUCGAUCUGUCCGACAACAAGCUAGACGGGUACAUCCCGGAGGAGUUAGGAAGCCUACGCCGGUUGCGAUAUCUCGACCUGAGUGUGAAUUCUCUUCGUGGAACGAUCCCGUCUUCGCUCGGCAAUUGCUCUAAUCUUCAAGUACUCAACUUGGCAAAUAAUAAGCUCAACGGUGAGAUUCCGCCAACUCUAUCGCGUCUUUCCGGUCUUAGAGAUAUUCUCCUGAAUCAAAACAUGUUACAAGGGACGAUCCCAGAUUCAAUUGGGAAUCUUUCUUCUCUACUCGUUCUUUCUUUAGAUAACAAUAACCUGUCAGGAGCCAUGCCUCCAUCCGUCGGUAGCCUUCUCUCCUUGAAGACACUUGCAAUCCAAUUCACUAGUCUCACAGGAACCAUUCGGCCCACUCUCACAAAUCUCUCCUCUCUGAAAGAGCUUGGACUACGAGGAAACAACCUUCAUGGUGAAAUUCCUCACUUUGCAGAACUUCUGUUCCUCUCUUUCCAGGACUGCUCUGUUAAUGAUCUCUCCAGGUCCAUCCCAAUCUCGCUCGGACAACUUUCAUCUCUCGAAAAUCUCAUUCUCGGGAUGAACUACUUAACAGGAGAAAUACCGUUAUCCCUUUACAAUCUAUCAUCCCUGAAGAACUUAGAACUCGCUAAUAACCAACUCGAGGGAACUCUACCCUCUGAUAUCGGAAAUGCUCUUCCGAACCUUCAAUUCCUUCAUAUGAGUUAUAAUCAGCUUGGGGGGCGAAUUCCAGCAUCAUUGUCCAAUGCUUCUGAGCUCAGACACCUUGAGAUAACAGUCAAUGAAUUCCACGGCACGAUACCGCCGAGCCUUGGAGCCUUGCAGAGUCUCUCGCGGCUCGAACUGGCUGUCAAUCGACUCGAAGCCAGGACGCCUAGCGAUUGGAGCUUCAUUACAGCACUGACCAACUGCACCGGUCUCCGAGUGUUGGAUGUAGGAUGCAAUCUACUUCAAGGCAUGUUGCCCAAAUCACUAGUCAAUCUUUCCACUAGUCUUCUAUAUUUGACAUUCUAUAGCAGCCAAUUAUCAGGAAUUAUACCUGCUGAGAUUCGGAAGUUCAUCAAUCUAACUUAUCUUGAUAUGGGCAUUAAUAAUUUUCGAGGCACCAUUCCCAUAGAUAUCAGUCAUCUUUGGCAAUUACAGUACUUAGAUCUAUCAAAUAACACGCUUUCCGGUGAAAUUCCUCCUACUUUGGGCAACCUAACACGAAUGGACAAGCUCUAUCUCGGCAGCAAUGAAUUUGAAGGAGCCAUUCCGCGGACAUUAAGCAACAUGUUAGUGUUAGAGUUGUUAAAUCUAUCAAAUAAUAGGCUAAGCGGUAGCAUUCCGCAAGAAGUUUUGACCCUUUCGUCGCUCACAAACUUCCUUGACUUGUCGCAUAAUUUACUGAACGAUUCAUUACCAUCGGAAGUGGGCAACUUGAUAAAUGUCAGGGAGCUUGAUCUCUCAAAUAACAGGCUCUCUGGUGAGAUUCCAGACACCAUUGGCAAAUGCGCCAUCUUGGAAAUUCUUCAUUUGGAGAAUAACUUAUUUCAAGGGUCCAUUCCUCCCUCCAUCAGCAAUUUAAGAGGGCUUAAGAAGCUUGAUCUCUCAAAAAACUUCUACUCAGGCCAAAUACCGGCAUUCCUUGACGAGCUCCCGGAUCUACACUAUUUGAAUCUCUCCUUCAACAGUUUUGAGGGUCGAGUGCCAAUGAAAGGGGUCUUUAAGAAUGCGAGCGAAGUCUCACUUAUCGGAAAUAGUAAACUCUGCGGCGGAAUUCCAGAAUUACACUUGCUGAAAUGCACUUCAGAUGCCUUUGCAACAAAACAUCACUCUGAUUAUAAACUCAGAGUAAUACUCAUUCCUAUAUGUGGAGCAAUUUUGUGUUUGAUUAUAAUCAUAUGCUUGCUUGGGAUACAUCACUUGAUUAAAAACUCGCAGAGAAAGCCGCAGUCGAGGUUUUCCUUAAGAAACCGACACGCGAAAGUAUCUUACGAUGAGCUCUUGAGGGCUACAAAUGGGUUCUCCUCAGAUAAUUUGAUCGGCACCGGAAGUUUUGGGUCGGUUUAUAAAGCCGCCAUGAACUAUGAAAACGUCGACACCGUCGUGGUGAAAGUGCUUAACCUUCAACAGCAUGGGGCUUUCAGAAGUUUUAUGUCUGAAUGUGAGGCCCUGAGAAGCACUCGACACCGAAAUCUUGUCAAAAUUCUUACCUGAGAAGUGUCGAUGAAAGGGAUUUUUAAGAAUGCGAGCGAAGUCUCGCUUAUCGGAAACCCUAAACUCUGUGGUGGAAUUCCAGAAUUACACUUGCCGAAAUGCACUUCAAAUGCCUUUGCAGCAAAACAUCACUCUAAUUAUAAACUCAAGGUAAUACUAAUUCCUAUAUGUGGGGCAAUUUUGUGUUUAAUUAUAAUCAUAUGCUUGCUUGGGAUACAUCACUUAAUAAAAAACUCCAGGAGAAAGCCGCUAUCGAGGUUUUCCUUAAGAAACCAACACAUGAAAGUAUCUUACGAUGAGGUCUUCAGGGCUACAAAUGGGUUCUCCUUAGAAAAUCUGAUUGGCACGGGAAGUUUUGGGUCGGUUUGUAAAGCCGUCAUGAACUAUGAAAAUGCUGACAUCAUCGCAGUGAAAGUGCUUGACCUUCAACAGCAUGGGGCUUUCAGGAGUUUUAUGUCUGAAUGUGAAGCCCUGAGAAGCAUUCGACAUCGAAAUCUUGUCAAAAUUCUUACAUCGUGCUCUAGUUUGGAUCACCGCGGUAACGAUUUCAAGGCCUUGGUUUUUGAGUACAUGCCUAAUGGUAGCUUAGAAGAGUGGCUACAUCCAAAUGCAUGCCAGAAUAGGCCAUUCAGAAGCCUAAGCCUAAUCCAGAGGUUGAACAUAGCUAUCGACGUAGCCUCAGCAUUGGAGUAUCUUCAUCACGAAGGGUCCAUGUUGAUUGUUCACUGUGAUCUUAAGCCCAGCAACAUCCUUCUUGACAAUGAAAUGACGGCGCAUGUGGGCGAUUUCGGGUUAGCAAAGUUUCUACAGCAACCGCCUGACGAAUCAUCAGAGUGUUCAUCUACCAGCACUGUGGGAAUCAAAGGAUCUAUUGGUUAUGUUCCUCCAGGUGAGAAAUAUGCAAUAAAAUACUAACUUUUUUCACGCUUUACGGCAUUUCACGAAAAAAAAUAUAACACAUUUUCAGUUGAUUCCUAAUUAUACUAUAUCUUUUUUUUUUUUUGCCGCUUAUUAUCUUUUGAAGCAAAAACAAGUGAAUAGCAUAAGUUUAAUAAAUAAAAUUAGAAAUUUAGUAUAAAAUAUAGUAGAAAAGAAGGAAAAAAAUAUUGUGGGAAAUAAAAAGGAUAUUAGAUAUUAGCUACGAAAACCGACAUACUAGAGUUAGAAUAAACUGCUUGAUGCUUACUAUUAAAAACUGAUUAAUUAUGAGCACUAAACACACAAGAGCUGGAUCUUUAUUUCUGCAUAUCUAAUGCUAUUGUAGAUUUGAUUUAUAACCUAAAAGAUCAAAUUUAGUUUUUGUAACUAUGGCUUGGAAAACAGCAGAACCAAAUCCAAAUCCAAAUGAAUUCACCUGACAAUCUUGUAUUGUCUGUUUCCAAUUAACAUAUGUUGUGCAGAGUAUGGAAUAGGCUGUAAACCAUCUAGGCUCGGCGACGUGUACAGCUACGGAAUUCUUCUGCUGGAAAUGUUCACUGGAAUGAGCCCCGUCGACGACAUGUUCAAAGAUGGUCUGAGCCUUCGUGGAUAUGUUCGUGCUGCUGCUGCUUCUCCUGAACAUCUCAUGGACAUUAUAGACAGAAAACUGCACUCGGCUGAUAAUGAUAUAGCUUACCAAGAAGAGUGUGUGCGAGAUUGCGUGGUUUUGGUGUUCGACUGCAGUCUCUCGUGCUCAAAUGAAUUGCCAUAUGAACGAUGUGACAUGACGAAAGUCUUAAAGGUGCUGAGGGCAGCAAGAGAGAGGCUUCUAAGCUAAAAGCAGUUUUGCUCCCUAUGCUACGGUUCUCACUAGAGGCAAAUGAAUGUAUGUUUGAACAGCCUCUGCUUUUCCUUAUUUGCAUUUAAAAAGCAACCUUGUGUAAUGAAUAUGCCUAGUCCUUAUGGUUUUUGAUCAUUCCUUUCUAAAAUGAAUAUAAGCAAAAAGAGUUAAGCACUUCAAUUUAUUUUUGCAUCUGCAUACAUUAAUAGCUUAAAAUUCCUAAUUUCUGGCUCAAGUUUAUAGCUGAAGCCUAAUAAAACCCAUCAUUGCCAAAUCUCUGUUGAAUAUAUUUUUCAACAGAUAGCUCCAACCCUAUUUUUAGAAGGUUGUAUAUACAAAUUUUGGAUUUUAAGCACAAACUACAGAAAGAUCAUAAAUAGUAUGAUAGAAGGAGAAUAUUGACCAAGAAAAUUAAGAGGCAUUUACAUUCAAACAAAACGUCACAUACAAAAGCAACAAUCCAAUGCAAGGGACCACAAACACCGAAAAACACAACCAUCACCCAAAGUAUUUGACAUUCCAAAAAGAACACCAGAUACGUACAUAUACCACCCCUCCAGUUCGCGUCCAACACCAUCAUCUCCACCUGCACCCUCGGCUCGUCCAAAACGUCCGCAUACUAUAUACCAGAUACACCAAAUCAAACUCAAAUUCACGAAUCAAAAUCAAAUUUUGAGAAGAGACCCAGAUCGGGAAGUGGGGCGGGGACCUUAUCGGGGUAGGGCAUGGACCCGUCGCCGAGCACGACGUCGCGGGAGCCGUCGAAGGCAACUGCGGCGGAGCCGGUGUAGACGACACGGCGCACGCCGCACUCGAUUGCGACGCGGAGAUUAGGGUUUUGGUGGCCCCAAUGGCUAGGGCGUGGAGUUCGGAGAAAUUGGGGGUGGCGGUGGAGAUAAUGGAGGAUGAGGUUGUAAUAUCCCGGACUCAAUUUAGCAACCCGAUGAAUUACCUCAAUAAGGGUAAGGCUAAAUUGGGGAUGAUGAUGAGCUCUUAAUUGGCCUUCCUGAUCCAAUCUAGCCUCCGUUGAUAUCCAAUUGAGGAUCAGCUGGGAUUGGAGAUGAUGGUAAUAUGUUGAGCUGAGGAUUAAGGUAAAGGAAUUGAGAAUAGAGAUAAGAGGGGAAGAGAGAGAUAGGUAGAGAGAGUGACAGAGAAGAGUUGGGGAUCGAGAGAGAGAAACAGAGAGGAGAGGGAUGGGGAUUAGAAGUAGAGAAGGGAAUUGGGGAAGAGAAAUAGUAAAGAAGAAGAAGGGUUUGGGGAAGAAUUUUUGGGGGAGAAAUAGACUAAUUCAUUUCCAUUCAUGAUCCCUAGCUUAUAAGACAUCCUGAAUUUAUACUAGUUAGUAUCCGUACAGAAAGAAAAUUAUUUAAUCUCUGAGGACUAAACAGCAAUAGUGACAAAAAUAAGAAGUGGGCUGGUUGGGCCGCCAAUUCGGUGGUAGUUGGGCCCUCUUUCUGGGCUUUCUGAGCUCCUCUGCUGCUUGUCGGUUAUUCGGACUCGGGUCCGUCCUUCUCCGCACUACCCACAACCCGGCAGGUCUUGGGUUCGCCAUUUCGCCCCGAUCCGAGCCCCGCUUCGCCCGAUCCAUGCUUAACGGUAAGUGGGCGUCGGUUCCGGCCUUCUCCGCAUCAUCCACCACCCGGCGGAUAUCGGGUCCGCGUUUUACGCCCGCUCCGGUGAUCCGACCGCCCGAUCCGCCAGCUCUCUUCUUCGCCCCAAUUACCCAGGUUCUGUCGGGCUUCCUUCUCCGACCUCGAUCCUCCCAUUUCCCCUUCAGCUCCGACGAUGCCCUAGCCCCGCCGGUUCACCCUGCCGGAGUUCCGCCUGACGCCCUUCUCCGUGCUAUCCUCCGCCAGCGCCUGAGCCCCUUCGGAGGCGCUUCCCACCGGACCACUCCGCCGAGCUCGCUCCUCUCCCACCUCCUGCUGUCACUUCCCUGCUCUACCUUGUAAAGUUGACAUUUUUACUACUUCCCCAUGCUAACUACUACUACUACUUCUACCAUUUAUUCUUUAGGGUUGUUACAGAGGUGGUGCUGCUGCUGGGGUCGAUGUGGAAGACAACGACGGAGCCGGUGAGAGCGGGGAUGACCUGGGCCCGGUCCGAGAAGUCGACCGGGAGGUGAAACUGGCCGGGUGAACCGGGUUGGUGGACCGGUCCCGGGGAAGGGGAGGGAUGGGCGACGCGGACGGCCCAGUGGUCGGAAGAGACGAGCGCGGCGCCGAGGGAGCGGUCGAGGAAGCUGGACCGGCCGAAGCUGACGGCGAAGGGGAUCCGGUUCGGCUCAGCCACCAGUGUAUCGGGUUCGGAGAUCGCCAUUGAGGGGGAUUGAAGGGGGAUAGAGAGGGAGGGGUAGGGGGAACGAGGGAGAAAGGGAGGAGGAAGGGUAACGAGAAAGAGAAAACGGCGCCGUUAAGUGUUCGUAACGGCGUUUCUCACGCACGCGCUCGUGACGACCUGUUUCGUACCAAAUCACAUACAAUGGAAUCAAAAUUUUCAACCAUGUGAUUCAAAUUUAGUGAUGCGAACGGGACGGAUGUCGGAGCGUAGAUCCGCCGCUCCCCCCGCCCCCCACUAUUAAAAUCCCGUCCCACCUUCCCUCUGGAAUCUGUGACAAAUUAAAAAAAUGAAUCUGUAAUUCACUCCGUCGAAUAACCCAUUCUUUGCCGGCGUUCCGAAUCUGUCCCACCAACAAAUAUUUUUUUUAUAAAUUAUAAUAUUAUUUUUUUUUUUAGAAAAAUAUAGUACGCUACCCGCUUCAUUCAUUCAGGAAAUAAAUUUGGCUAUAUGGGUGAGACAACAAGGCCUCUAGAGAGAUAAAAAGCAGAGCGAAGACGAAAAAGAAAAUAAAAAAAUAAAAAAAUAAAAAAAUUGAGAAAAUCAAUCAUGGUUCGAAGAACAAGUCAAAAGUUUUGAAUGCAUGAGAAAUAAGAGUAUCAACUUAUUUUAUUUUAAACUUUUUUGUGAACAUAUUGUUUUUUAGAAAUUAUGUUAGUAUGCUAUCAAUAAUACCAAACGCUUGGUAUUAUCGAAUUUUCAGCCGUUGGAUGGAAGGAUGUACGGUUAGGAUGAUAGUAAUCCUCUAGGGUUGAGUAGGUGGCUGGUUGAAUAGUAUAAUAUAACGGGUGAAAAUAGUCAAAAAAUAGAUUUUACGGCAGAAAAAUUAAUAGUAGCAAGAACUUAAUAUUGUUGAUAGUAUACUAGCUGGACUCAUUUUUUUAGAGAUAUUUUCUUAACAUAUAAUGGAAUAUCUGCUUUUGAUUACAACACAGUAUUGAUGGCAAAAGUAAUAUGGCUAUAAAUAAUUGUGCCCCCAAAUAUUACAUUUAGUGGCGACAAAUAUUUGUCACCAGAUAUCACAUUUAGUGAUAACAAAUAUUUGUCACCAUAUUUUAUAUUUAGUGGCGACAAAUAUCUGCCGCCUAUAGUUAAACGUUGGUGGUAAAAAUUAGUUGCCGUCGAAUCUUGAUAAUUGGUGGUGAUAAAUAGUUGCCACCAAUAAUUUACUUUGGUGCCGAAAUAUUAUUGCGAUGAAUUGUUACAAUUUGGUGGCCGGUGGGACCUUUUGUGGCAUGAUAAUUUUUGUCAUCAUAAUAGGUAUGUCGACAUUUUUUAUAUUCGAUGAUGAUGAUUUUGGACACACUAGGUUGAACAAAAAAAUAAUGAAUAAAAAUAAUAAAUUAUUUAUAUACGAAGAAUAAAAAAAUGCUAAACAAAAAGAAAUUAGUAGGAGCAACAACUGUAACAAACUCAUGAGUUAUUUUUUGAAUGUUGAAUAUAUUACAAGAUUUUAACUCAUUUAUUUGUUUAAUUGGGAAUGAGCUUAUUAAAUAAUUUGUGUUUAUUUAUUAUGUAUGAUAUAUAUUUCUUAUUAUAUAAAAAUACUAAAAUCACAUUAUUUAAUAAAAUAUAUUAUUUUUAAAUAUUAUGUUAAAAAUAUGAUAGUAUAAAUUAUUAUUUAUAUUAUUUUUAUCUGUUUAAAAGGCAUAAUUUAAAUAAUAUUUAUAUUUACAAAAUAAUAUAGAAUUACCGGCAUUUAUUAAUACUGGAAUCAAAAAUAAAAUACUAGCAUUUAUAUAAUAUUGCAAAUUAAAUAAUAAUUACCGGCAUUUAAUUAGUGCCGGAGAUGACUAACAAAUACAAGUAUUUAAAUAAUGUCGGUAAUAGUCAUCUCUAUAACGACAUUUAUUUAAUGUUACUAAUUACUGAACAUUAACGGCAAUCUAUUUAAAUGCCGGUAGAAGAUUUACCAACACGAGUAUAAGCGGCAUUAAAAGCUGAAUGCCGCUAAUAGUUUUUGCAGCAUUUUUUUGACUUUCGGCGGUAAUAACUGAAUGCCGCUGAAACACAAUUUUUUUGUAGUGUCAAUAGAAGAAAAAAGGCAAAACAAAAAAAAACAAUAAUAGCAGCAGCAGAAGAAGAAAAAGAAUGAAUAUAGUAAUAGAGCAAAAUGUAUAUUUGUUGCUUUAUUUUACUAUCCAUCUGCUAUUGCCGUUUUUCAAAUGGCUUUAGAGAGUGAAAGAUAGAGGAAAGCUUCAUGUGCGAGAGGAGUAAAUUUUUAUGAAUAUAGUGAUUGAUAGGGAUGUGCAAAAAGAUAGGAAGAGAGAAGGAAAGAGAGAAAAAUUCAAAACUACAACGCGGCAAAAGAAGAAAAAGGAAAACAGGAAGCAGACAAAUCUUGUGAUCAACUAGUUCCAUACUCUCGUGGCGAGAUGUGAUGGCAAUGGGUUGGAGCAGCAGGAUACGUGGCGGGAUCAGCGGAUUCAAAACUAGGAUGUAUAAAUACAUCUUAUAUGUCGCAUUUUAAAAACCUCAUUAUAAAAAUUCAAAUUCUACAAAUUUUUAUAUAUAAACUUUUUAUAUAGUAUCGAUUGUAUCUAGCAAAGUAGAUUUUAUAAUUUUAUAAUAUUAAAUUUUAAAAAAUAAUUUAGUAUAUGUAAUGCACUGAUAGACUGAGUGCUAACAAUAAUUUAUUACAGUUGAGAAGAAAAGAUAAAGUGGUGAUUGAAAAAUAUUUCGUACCAUCGGAGUGUAAAACUAAAUUUUGUAGUCUACAUUUCUAAAAUAUUAUUCUAAAAAUUUAAACUAUGUAAUUUUUUAUCCAUAACUUUUUAUAUGAUUUAUAUAGUAUAUAUUAAAUAUAAAUUUUAAUUUUAUAAUAUUGAUUAGUUAAAAUAUGUUGUACAGUAAAAGAUCAGAGAGAGAUUGAUGGAGGAAGAGAGAGAGAGUAGGAGAAUCUAGAGAGAGAGAGAAAGAGAGAGAGAGAGAGAGUCUAGAUGGUAUAAAAAAAAGGUCCACCCCACUCCUGACGUAGAGAAUGUAGGGAUACAAAUUGGGUGGAUCUGGGAGUGGAAGCCCCACCCCGCCUCCCGCCACCACUAGCAAAAUCUCGUCUCGCCUCCCGUCCUGAAUCUGUGACAGGUUAAAACAUACGUUCCAUAAUUUGCCCCGCCUCUUAACCCGCCUCCCACCGGCGCCCCGAAUCCGCCCUGCCAACUAAUAUUUUUUAUAAAAUUAUAAUAUUAUUAAUAUUUUGUAAAAUAUAAAUUAAUAAUUUUUAAUAAUAUUAUAUAUAUAAUUUAAUAAUAUCAAUUAUAAAAUAAAAAAUAUUAAUUAUAAUUCAAAACAAAAUUCAAAAGUUUCAAAUGAAUUAGAAAUGAGAGUACUAACUUAUUUGUAUUUUAAACUUUUUUUGUAAAUAUAUUAUUUUUUAGGAAUAUUUUUUUAAAAUAUAAAUUAUUUUCGGGGCGGAUUCGGAACAGAUCAUGGUGGGGUGGAUUCGGGACGGGUCAAAAUUUUUUCCGUUUUUGUCCCGAAUCCGUCUCGGAUCGUAAAAUUUAUCCAAUUUUCUGCUCCAAAUUCGUUUAUUUUCUCCCAUUUAUUGUCCCGUCGGGGCUGAUCGGACCAGAGCUCCACCAACCCAGAUCUGUUUGCAUCCUAAGAGAAUGGGCAAAUUAGCGUAACAGAACACCAUGUUGGAUUUCAACUGAAAAAAAUGGACCCAACCCCGCUUAGCCUCUUGUUUCGCUCAAAUCGACAUGGAGAAUGGGCACCGACAGUCCCUUGAGCAAGUGGCAAAGGGCUUGGUGGUUGGUACCCGAGAUCCAAGUUCGAAUUCUAGUUGAUUCAUAUUUCUAGCUAAGUUUAUUUCUAAAUGAAAUAAACGAAGCGGGUAGUGUACUAUCUAUCUCUCUCAAAAAAAAAAAAGAAAAAAAAAACAUGGAGAAUGGGCAAAGAGAAGAAUUGGGAUGAAAACAAAGUGGGCUCCACUCCAACCCUCAUUUGUCAAAAUCAACCGGGGCGUCACAUUCGACGACUUCAACUAGUGUUAUUAUACACAUUAUAUAGUGUAAAUGGAUGCAAUGCACCAAUACACUCGGUGCUGCUAAUAAUUUAUUGUAGUUGAGACAGAAAAGAUAGAGUAAUGCAGGAGAAAUAUUCAUAUAUCGAGUGUAAAAUUAAAUUUUAUAUAUUACAUUUCUAAAAUCUCAUUAUGAAAAUUUAAAUUAUAAAACCUUUUACACAUAGCUUUUUAUAUUAUUUAUAUUCUAUGUAUUAAAUAUAAAUUUUAAUUUUAUAAUAUUCAUAAGUUAAAAAUAAAUUGUACACUAAAAAAUGAAAAAGAGAUUGAUGGACAAUAAAACAGAAAGGAGAAUUGGGUAAGAAUAGGGAUGUCAAUGAGUAUGGAUAUCCGAAAUUUUAUCCGAACCCGAACCCGAAUGAAACGGAUAUAUCCAAUACUAAAUGGAUAUGGAUUUGGAUAUGGAUAUCAAAAAUAGAAACCCGACGGAUAUGGAUUCGGAUAUAGAUUUUGACUGUACCAAACCCGAACCCGAACCUGACCCAAACCCGAAUUUAUUUUGUAUUAUAUGUAAUAUAUAUAAAAAAAUUUGAUGUUAUAUUUGAAUUUGUAUUUUAGAAAUUUAGAUUUAAUAUAAUAUAUUUCGAAAUAUUGAAAAAAAAAUAAUUAUUUCGGGUUCAAAUUUUCGGAUUCGGGUUCAGGUUCGGGUCUCGGGUUUGGAGUCGGGAUCAGGUUUGGAUUUUUGAAAAUUCGUCACGAAACCGACCCGUUGACAUCUUUAGGUAUAAAAAAAAAAGGUGGGUCUCACCCCCACCUUCUCCACCAGAAACUCAGUUUAUAAAAAAAAAAGGUGGGUCUCACCCCCACCUUCUCCACAGCUAAUGGAUUUCUUUGAUCCCAAAGAAGGCGCAAGCUAUUGCACCAGAGCAUUUCCGACCUAUUAGCCUUACCCAUGCUAUUAGCAAAAUUAUCUCAAAGGUGCUCGCGACCCGCUUGCUGACAGUCAUUGAUUUACUCAUUGACCCGCAUCAAACAGCCUUUAUCAAGAACCGUAGCAUUCACGACAGCUUUGUAAUGGCUCACGAGGUUCUUAACGCUGCUAGAAGGCGGAAGAAAAAAUUGGCCCUUUUAAAAAUUGAUUUCUCUAAGGCUUUCGACAGUGUUAGCUGGCCUUUUCUGCUAAAUCUCCUAAUCUGUCGUGGUUUUGACAUUAAAUGGACUACUUGGAUCUCAAAACUUUUGUCCUCCGCUUGCAGUUUUAUCCUCGUAAACGGAUGCCCGGGCAAGUUGCUUCGUCUCCGACGGGGACUAAGACAGGGCGACCCUAUCUCACCUUAUCUCUUUAUCCUUGUGGCUGAUGUUCUGCAGAGACUUGUGCAGCGUGCUUCAUCCGCCAAUCUCCUUCCGUCACCCUUAGGCAUUACUGGCCUUAGUCCUCUUUUGCAAUAUGCGGAUGACUCUCUACUUUUUUGCGAUGACAACGUCGAAAACCUUCUCAAGUGCAGGACACUACUUCAGGCCUUCUGCCGUUCGUCAGGUUUAUCAAUCAAUUUUGCGAAGACAUCACUCUAUGUUGUUAAUCUUGCUGAACCAUCUCAUGCUUCACUUGCAAAUUCCUUCAACUGCUCUAUGGGUCACUUCCCAUUAACAUACCUUGGACUGCCACUUUCGCCGGCUAAGCUCCCAACUUGUGCUUUCAACUCUCUUAUUGACAAGUUCCAUAAAAGACUCUCGGGAUGGAAAAGUGCUCUACUAUCACCGGCUGGUCGAGUUGUUUUAAUUAAUUCAGUUCUUACAAAUUUACCAAUCCAUUACCUAUCUGUUUUUAUUUUACCUAAGGCUAUUACCCACCAGCUGGGGGAGCUCCUGCGACGUUUUCUGUGGAGGAAAUCUUCAUGUCCUAUAAGAGAAGGUGUACCUCUAGUCACCUGGGAUAUUGUGGCUAGACCUAAAGCUUUGGGCGGACUUGGAAUAGCAAACAUCUACUACAAGAACUUGUCUCUUCUCUGCAAGUGGCUUUGGAGAUUUGUCUCGCAACCGGACUCACCUUGGGCAGUUUUAAUUAAAUCGGUAUAUUAUUCCACUUUCCCUCUCAGCUGGAAGCAUCCCCGACAAAGCUCUCUUUCUUGGCGUAGUGUGCUAAAGACGUACCCUAUCUUCAACAUCUCACACUCUUUUGUGGUUUAUAAUGGGAUGAAGACAUUUUUUUGGUUAUCAUCUUGGUUAGGCACACCCCUGAUGGAUCAAUUUCCGGCUCUAUUCUCCUACUCUGCUCACAAAUUUGCUCUUGUGUCCGAGGUUUUUAUUGAUAAUCUGUUCUCAUUACCGGUCAUCUCUUACCCGUCCAUCAUUGCACAUGAGGAGUUUUCGACACUCUGCCACAGGUUAUGCAACUUCCAAAUUUGCGUCGGCCCCGACAUCUGCUGCUGGAAAUGGACUCCCCAUGCCACUUUCUCCACUGCAUCAGCAUACAAUCUGUUCUUUGCUGGAUCCACAUUCGACUCGACUCCGAUCACUGUUUGGUACUCUUUUGCGCCACCUCGAGUGCAGUUUUUUAUGUGGCUUUUAUAUAAAAACCGAAUUUUAACUCAUGACAACCUUCGGCGUCGUGGCUGGAUUCUCGCCUCAAGAUGUGAGCUUUGCUUUAAUGCUGGCGAAGAUAUCAUUCACUUAUUCCUCCAUUGCCCCUACUCCCUAGCAGUGUGGGCAUCUCUCAAUCUUCUUCUUUGUCUACCUCAACCAUCUUUAUUGGGACUUGGAGACUCUUGGGCAAUGUGGUCAUCUCGCCUUCCUAAGGAUAUUCGAAAGGUUGGGAACACCAUCUUCAGCUGCUUCGCUUGGUCCAUCUGGUCUGAGCGAAAUCGUCGCAUCUUCGACAACACUUGCUCUACUCCCCUCUCCACCGCAAGCCGUAUUCGCAUGCUAAUCGCUGAUGUCGAUAUUUCAUCUUUGACGUGAUCACUUUGUGUCCCCUCACUUUUUAAAUUUUUAGUUGCUAUUAUAUACUGUUUGUCUGAAACCUUGUAUUAUUGUUAAUCUUUCUUUAUUAAGUACACCUUGGUCAGCCCUUUUGGGCCGACCUGUUUUCUUUUUCAAAAAAAAAAAAAAAAAUUUGAAGUGAAAAAAAAAAUGGAGCGCCACGUAGAGCAUGCAGGGAGAGAGAAGAAUUGAAAUGAAACAAAAAUGGGCCCAUCCCAACCUGUUUUGCGCAAAUUAACAUGGUAGCGCCAUGUUGGAUAUAUAGAAUAUGUAGAUUUUCUGAGAAGAAAUGCUAAAUCUACAACUUAAAAUCUCUACAAUCUCUUAUCCAAUGGUCUUUGGAUCUUAUCGCACUUUUUCUAGUCCCUAAUGGCAAGAUUUGUAGGAAAAAGAUGUCUUUUGUAUUAAUAAAAUGGUAAGAUUACAACUGAACAAGUAGUUUUGAAAUUGCUUCUAAAUUUUUAUUAUGUUGUGUUGAGAACCGUUUCGCUUUUGAUUUACUCUAAAAUUGAGUGAUUUUAGUCAGGAAAAUAAAAACUUUUGCCAAAUUAACUGAUGAUUUUAUUAAAUUUAAUAAAAAAACUAAAUUAACAGUUAAUAAGUAAUAGAGUUAUUAAAUUUGAUAGCUAAACUAAGUAUGAAAACUCAAAUAAAAAAACGACAUGGAGGGGCUCUCAAUAAAAUAUAUAUAUAUNUGGAGGGGCUCUCAAUAAAAAAAAAAUAUAAAUAUAAUUAAGUGAGUUAUUUCAAAAUGCCUAGAAAAAUGUUCAUAUAUUAUUUAUAUCUCUCACUAAUUGUUCUAAUGCAAAUGGUAAAGUGAUGAUUGGUACUCAAGGUCAUAAAUUUGAAAGUUAAUUAUUUUAUAUUUUUAAUUAAAUAUAUUUUUUUAAAAAAAAUUAAACGAAGCGCCGUGCACUACACAUUUCCUUUUAACCAAAAUUAUUUGGUUUAUCAAAAUACCGGGCGACAUUCAUUUAUAAUAGAAAAAAAAAAUGUCAUGCAUUUUCUAAACUUUAGAGAGUAGACAAAUAGAUCCCCGAGUUUCUAAUUUUGACAACUAAACAACCUAAACAUUAUCAAAUAAUUCAAUCAUCCUUCCUCUAUAAGAAAGUUGCUAAUUAAAUGUCCAUUUUCGGCAAAUAUCUUGCGUGUGAUUUUGUGAAGCUUCAAAAUAUAUUAAAAUUUGCUUUUCUUAUUCUAACGCUUGAGAAAAGUAAUAAUUAAAAUGAAAGAUGGAUUUAAUUUGUAUAUUCUUCAAUCCAUAGAUCUUUGUUUUGUUGCGAAGAGAGAAAAAACAAUUUUUUUGUUUUUUUUUUUUUGAAACUUAGCAAGAUUAGAUCUGCAAAACAUACUACCAAAAUGACUUUUUAAUUAGUAACUUCUCUUGUGAAAAUUGAUCAAUUAAACUAUUUGGUUAUUUUAGUUAAUUUGAUUAUUUUAGAAGAUCUAGUGGCUAAAAAGCAAUGCUACAUAUACAUUCCAUUUGCGGUGUAUAUCCUACACCUUAUCCAUCCAAUGGGUGAGGUGUUUUCACCAGUCAGUUAACGUGACUGGUAGUUAACACCCUAACCAUUGAAAAAUACCACUUGUACACUCCAUCCGGAUGCACAUUAAGUAACUGGUGAAAACAUAUAAUCCAUUGGAUAGGUGAGAUAUAGGAUAUACAUCCAAAUAGAGUGUAUAUGUAGCAUUGCUCUUUUGAUAUGUCUCUAUGUAAAAACGUAUGUUGAUUAUGUUCUAUAGGCAAAUUUGAAAUUUGCUCCCUCCAGUUUUAUUUUAUGUGGAUUGAGAGUUUGAGACACCCCUUCACUAUUGAUUUUUUAAAAACUGAUAUUUCUGUUCUUCUAAGGCCAUCUGUGUAAAUACAUGCCUUUGGAAAGGCAAUGAGGAAAUUCUCCUUUCAAAAAACUUAAGAGGGCUAUUUCAGAACCACCUAUAAUUGAGGGGGUCUCCAUACAUUUUUAUAUAUAAAUAACAAAAAACUUCAAAGACCAUCCCUAUAGUUUCACACUUUCUCACUUUAGUACCAUGUGGUUUAAAGUAUAUCAAUUUAGUGCCCUAUAGUUUAUUUUUCUUUUUUUAUUAUCAAUUUCAUUAAUUUUUUUUUUCUUAAAUUAGUGACAAAGUUAAAACUAAAGGGUACUAAAGUGAAUAUUCGAUAAACAUAGGUGGGUAUCUGAAGGAUUUUGUAUAUAAUUUAACGAAAUAUUAACGAAGAAACUGACGAAAAUAAAAAAAUAAAACCACUUUAAAUCACAAGGUAUUAAAGUGAGAAAGUGCCAAACCACGGAUGGUUUUUGAAGUUUAUCCUAUAAACAAUUAACCUCCAAUAAUUCGUUCUAUUUCGUCCACUAGUCUCCUUGUUUACUCCAGUCACCUCUGCAAAAUGUCAAUUCACUAAUUGUUAACUAAAUCUUCAAGUGGGAAGUCCAAUACCAAUUGGGCAACUAAGUGUAGUAUUGACUUUUGGUCCGAUUGCUAGGAGGGGGAGGGGGGGGGGUGCCAAUUGGGCAACAAGUGUACGGGGGGGUCUUUUCCCAAUAUGUAUACCUUCUUUCGCAUCACAAAAAUGGGAACAUCAACGAUUAUUUGACUAGCGACCGAUGAAAUUGGAGCAAAAUUUUUAAUGGCAAUAGCACUAGUGGACACAGAUUGAGCUCUAGUUACGUAGCACUUAGGGAAAGGAUCUCCAUUUUCAAACUCGAGCAUAGACCAGAUAGCGUACAUUAGCGUUGGAGCCCUGACGGGCGGUUCACGGUGAAAUCUGCCUAUUCGAUGCUGAAUGAUUGGUGUAUAAAGGACGCCCGGACAAGCAAGAUUUGGAACAUUCGAGUACCCCUAAAAGUGAAAGUGUUUUGCUGGAUUGUUCUUAAGAUGCAGCCUCUUACUGUAGACAACCGAUUAAAGAGAGGUUGGACUAGCAACAUAGCAUGCGUGUUGUGUAGGGUUGAAGAGAAAACUGUCGACCACUUAUUCACACGAUGCGUCUUCUCGAGAUUUCUAUUGGUGAUGAUCUUGGAGUAUGCACAGUCUAGAGAUUGGGGGGAUGACGUAAGCUCGGUCUGGGUUAGGUGGAUGACGAGGAUUGGAACGCAGUCGUCGAGUACUACGGUAUCCGGAUUGGUAGCCAGCUGGUGGGUAAUUUGGGAGGUCAGGAACAACGUGAUCUUUAGGAAGACCCAACCGGACCCGUCUUUGCAGCUUACAAGAUUAAGCAACUGACGAAUCUUUGGAGCAAUUUCUACUAGGUAAUUGACGACACGCUUGUAGUCGGUAGUUUUUUUUUUUUUUUCGCCCCCUACGAGGCCUAUGUUGUCUCACCCCAAUAGUUUAGUUCAUCUUUUCAAUUAAUGAAUCGGGUAGCGUGCUAUCUAUUUCUCAAAAAAAAAAAAAUUUUUGAUUAAACAGGGAUAUACCUUAUUUGAUAAAGAGAAUUAUCACGACAAAUUUGAUGGUUGUAUUGAAAUAGUGAUGCAUUGCACAAAUAUACUGGUGGUAGGUGCUUUUAGUUAGCCACUUGGUUCAUUUUUUACAUUGCGCCAAUGUGCUGUUACAAUUAAGUGGCACUAUAAAAAAUUUUCAAUAUAAGAAAGCUUUUUAAAUAAUAUUUGAAAAAAUAUCUCCAAGCUACCUAUAAAAUAGCAAAUAUCGAUAUUUCAAAAAAUAUCGUCAUAUGAUUAUAUGAACCCUCUAUUAUAAUAAAUCAAUUUAUUAGAUGAUAAACUUUAUUAUUAUUUUAAUUUUUCGACGCAUUAAAAUGUUAAGAUUUUAAAAGUUCUUAAAAAUUCUAACGCUUUAAAACGUCAGAAUAUAUUUGAUCGACGCUUGACAUAAACGUCGGUAUAUACGUGGUGAUGUUUUAACAUAUGCUUUUAAAUAUCACGCUAAACUAUAUUAAGACAAUUUUAAAUAUCGUUAAAUAUAAAAAAAUAUAUGUUUAAAUGUUAAUGUUUUUUUGUUAGUGUGGCCUUAGUUAUCUACUUUAUUUAUUUUUUAUAGUGCAUAAAUAUACAGCUACAAAUAGGAGUAGAUGGUUUUAGCUGCCUGCUUAGCUAAAAUAUAAAGUAAUUAAAUUUCGAACUUAAAAACUCGAAUACUAAUUAUUAAGCUUUUAACCAAUUACCGUUAGUUACAUUUUGCAGAAAUAUUGCGGUACAAGGUACAUGAUCAGUAUUCUCACACCAUGGUAUUACUACCUUAUGACAACGAAAUAGGAUUUUGACUAAGCGUCGAAGUUAGUUUGUUAUCUAUCCAGUUCCCAAGAUUAAAUACCAACGAAGAGCUACUGCAGGAUUACUAUGGCUUUAGCUUCUCUUGUCUUAGUUCGUAGAAUGGAAGGCUUUUUCCAUGCACUAUUUUUUCUCAUCAUUCUACUAUAUGUGAUGUCCGCCGCCUGGUGCACCGCCACUGCUGCCGCCGGGAUCAAACAAGCUGCAUCCGACCGCGCCGCCCUCCUCUCCUUCAAGUCCCUCGUCGACGACGAUCCGUUCAGAGCGCUCUCCUCGUGGAACAACGGCUCUCUCCACUACUGCAGGUGGCGUGGUGUCUCCUGCGGCCGCCGCCAUCCCGACCGGGUCACGGCCCUCGACCUCAAGUCUCUCCGCCUAGCCGGUUUCGUAUCGCCCGCCGUAGCCAACCUCACAUUCCUCCGGAGGAUCGACCUGUCCGACAACAAGCUAGGCGGGCGCAUCCCGGAGGAGUUAGGAAGCCUACGCCGGCUGAGAUAUCUCAACCUGAGUGUGAAUUCUCUUCGCGGAACGAUCCCGUCUUUGCUCGGCAAUUGCUCUAAUCUUCAACUACUCAACUUGAGAGAUAAUAAGCUCGAUGGUGAGAUCCCACCAACUCUAUCGAGUCUUUCCGGUCUUAGAGAGCUUAUGCUGCGUCAAAACAUGUUACAAGGAACAAUCCCUUCCCAUCUAACACAGUGUAAAGAGCUUCAGGUUGUCGAUCUAAGGAAUAACUUUCUCACAGAAGAAAUUCCACCAGAGCUUGGCUAUCUUCACAAGUUAAUAUCGUUAGCUCUAAGCUACAAUAAUCUUACAGGAGCCAUCCCUGCUACUUUGGGCAAUCUUGCUCAGCUUCAAAACCUUGAUCUAAAAUUCAAUAGCCUUUCUGGGUCCAUCCCGGAUUCACUUGGGAAUCUCUCUUCCCUAAUCUAUCUUUCUUUCGGCAAAAAUAACUUGUCAGGACCCAUGCCUCCAUCCUUCGGUAGCCUUCUCUCCUUGAACAUACUUGAAAUCCAACAGAAUAGUCUCACAGGAACCAUUCCGUCGACUCUUACGAACCUCUCCUCUCUGAACGUGGUUGCACUACGAGGAAACAACCUUCAUGGUGAAAUUCCUCGCUUUGCAGAACUUCCACUCCUCUUUUACCUGGACUGCACUUCUAACAAUCUCUCCGGGACGAUCCCAAUCUCGCUCGGACGACUUUCAUCGCUCGAAUAUCUCCGUCUCAGGAUGAACAACUUAACAGGGGAAAUACCAUCAUCCCUUUACAAUCUAUCAUCCCUGAAGACCUUAGAACUCUUUUAUAACCAAAUCGAGGGAACUCUACCCUCCGAUAUCGGAAAUGCUCUUCCGAACCUUCAAGCCCUUUACAUAUAUGAAAAUCAGCUCGGGGGAAAAAUUCCAGCAUCCUUGUCCAAUGCUUCUGAGCUUAAAGACCUUGAGCUAAUGGCCAAUGCAUUCCAUGGCACGAUACUCCCGAUCUUUGGGGCCUUGCAAAGCCUCUUGCGGCUCGAAUUGGAGGGGAAUCAACUUGAAGCCAGGAAGCCUAGUGACUGGAGCUUCAUUACCGCACUGACCAACUGCACCAGUCUCCAAUUGUUGGACCUAGGAGGCAAUCAACUUGAAGGCACACUGCCCAAAUCUCUAGUCAAUCUUUCCACUAGUCUUAAUGUUUUGGUACUCAAUAGCAACCAAAUAUCAGGAAUUAUACCUACCGAGAUUGAGAAGCUCAUCAGUCUAACUACUCUUGACAUGAGUGGUAACGACCUUCAAGGCACCGUUCCUGUAGAAAUCAGUCAUAUUAGGCAACUACAGCUCUUACGUCUGUCAAAUAACAUGCUUUCGGGCGAAAUUCCUCCCACUUUGGGCAACCUAACACGAAUGGACAAACUCGAUCUCGGCAGCAAUGAUUUUGAAGGAGCCAUUCCGCCGACAUUAAGCAAACUGUUAAUGCUAGAGUUGUUAGAUUUAUCAAAUAAUAGGCAAAGCGGUACUAUUCCUAAAGAAGUUUUGACCCUUUCAUCACUACCAAUCCUCCUUGACUUGUCGCAUAAUUUACUCAACGGUUCAUUACCGUUGGAAGUGGGCAACUUGAUAAAUAUCUGGGGGCUUAAUCUCUCAAAUAACAGGCUCUCUGGUGAGAUUCCAGACACCAUCGGCAAAUGCGCCAUCUUGGAAAUUCUUCAUUUAGAGAAUAACUUAUUUCAUGGGUCCAUUCUUGCCUCCAUUGGCAAUUUAAGAGGGCUUGAGGAGCUUGAUCUCUCAAAAAACUUCUUCUCAGGCCAAAUACCGGCAUUCCUUGACGAGCUCCCGGAUCUACACUAUUUGAAUCUCUCCUUCAACAGUUUUGAGGGUCGAGUGCC
rnacentral:lncRNA from 1 species